CCCCAUACCGUACAACCCAAUAAUUCCCAGCUCCUCAUCUUGGAUGCAUCUGCAAACCUCUGUAAACAUCAGAUCUAAGCCCACAGUCUUCUCCAUCGGCCUCUCAUCCACCGGAGCUUGAGGUAACCUAUCAGCCACAACAUCAAAGCGUCCCUUGUUCCUUAAUUCAGUCACAGCACCCAGCUUUUUACUCGCUUUCUUCCCAAGCUUGUAGCUGGACCGGCAGUUUCUGGUGCAACAAGUUCCAGGGCAUUUCUUCUGGAUUUCCUGAUCGCCUUUCUCCAGGAUCUCGUUGACUUCUAGUUCCAUUGCUAGGACGCUAUGGAGCCAGCCGUUCACUUCAUUUGUGCGCUUCAUUUGCCGUUGCUCUUCAAGUUCAACUCUUCCCUUCACAUCCUGGUAUGCGUUCUUCAGCUCCUGCAUUGCGUUUCUUAACGAGUCCAUAUUUUCCUGCAGAUCCCUGAUGUAGACUGCAUGCUUGGCUGUGCAGUUCCAUACGCGAGUGACAACAUCCAAGAUUGGGCUCACACAAUCCAUUCCUUGUCUUGAGAGAUGAAAUUCAACGAAAAAACAGAAAAUGGAGAGAUGGGUUUUGUGGGAGAGCAGCAGACUUUUUUUUUUUUUUUUGUCGAAACAGUUCUCUCUCUCUCAAUGAGAGACUUCUAUGGUCCCAUGCACGCGGUAGGUACCGAAGCGUGAAUUCCCUCUGUUGGAUAAGUAAAUCCAAUCAAGGCCGUCUAUUUGUUAGAGGGACAGCAAUAAUAUUAGUAUUUAAUUUCUUGUUCAUCAAAGCUGAAUAAAAAGGGUUAAGAAAUUAAUGAAUGGAUACAUUUCUCAUUUUAAUUUUUAAAAAUAAUUUUAUUUUUUAUUUUAUAAAAAGUAGCUACAUAGCUUGUGUAGUUGAAAAUAUUGAAAGUAAAAUUUUUCAUUUUUUAAAUUUUGAGAAAUUUUUUUAACAACGUAAUGGUAAAUUUUCGUUUUUUAAUAAAAGUUGUAAUAUUUUAUAUAAGAAUAAAGUAAAGAAUAAAAAGUGCAUCCAAUGAGUAUAAAAGUGAACGAGAAAAACCGUAACAUAAAAAAUAAUUUUAAAAUUAUAAUAUUUUUCAAUUUCAAGUAGGCUUUGUCUUUUAAACAUAUAAAUUCAGUAUAAAAGUGAACUUGUUUUUCAAACAAUGAGUUCAAUGUAAAUAAAUUUAUUUUUUAAAAAAAUGGUUUUAAUAUAAAAAUUUUUAGGAUAAAAAAGGGAUUUGUGUUUUGAAAAGCCGAAUUCAAUAUAAAAAAUGAAUUUGUUUUUUAAAAUGAGGAGUUUAAUGCAAAAAUAAAAGAAAUAAUGAAAAAUAUUAUAUUUGUAUAUUUAUUUUUUAAAUAAUUAUAUUUUAAUAAUAUUUUUUUUAAAUGAAUAAAAAAUCAGGUGGGUAGUCUUGGGUAUUGGCGCCACAAUCUGUCGUGGGCUCUAAAAAAAAUAUAUAUAUAUAUUUUUUUUGCUGUCCAAGACAUAGAAAGAAGAAAAGAUAAUAGAAUAAGUGAUUUGCCCAAAUUUCAAUCCACUAAAGGUUCCUUUUUAUAUGGCCAUUUGCAGAUUCAUUAAGCCUCUAUUUCAAAUUUAUUAUUUCCAAUUACGUAUUCUGCUUCAACUAUCAUUUUAAUUAAUUAUUAAUUAUUUGUUGGACUUUUGGUCUAAUAUCAUUUCAUGAUGGAUAGGGUUUUUGGAGGUACCGGGCUUAAUGGGUCCCAUGGGUCCGCCCUUUGGAGGUACCGGGCUUAACCCAUUCGGUUAGCCGAUACCCCUUUGUAGAACCAAAGCCUUUGCCGAAAGAGUAACUAGAAUAAUCACGCGAUCUGGGUAGUUUUUCCCGAAUGCAAUGGUUCUUGAAGUUGAGACGGUAAGCUGCUAGCCAAAAGAGAAUGGCACCACCUCACCCGGAUCAAAGGGAGAUAGCCACCAGGGCAGUGUGCCCGAAAAAUCAAGGCCUGGAUCUCCCAAGAGCCCUACUAGUCGAUCCGGGAGAGUUGAACAUGUCCGGGAGCACCGUACCGACUUGCACUCUGACUCAUGUGGCAUAAACACCAAAGGAAUUGCGACAAGACUAGUACAAGGAACGAGAGGCGAAGGAACAAAAGGGCAGUGACAAGAUUAGUAUGAGGAACAAGAGGCUGCAACUAGAUUGAUAUGAGGAGCAAGUCCUAAAGCAAAGCUCUAACCGGUCUUGUUACCAACAAGUUCCAGUGGGCUUAGCCAUGCACCGCUUGACACGGUUCCAUCCACCCAACUGUGGACGCCAUGCAACCUUUGAUGUCCGCCCUCUUGACACACCACUCGACCAAUCAGGUGAUGAUGGUUCGGAAUCCCUAUAAAAUGAGAAGAAGAAGAAGCGAAAAGAGGUUUUUUGGUCUGACACAGAAAACCAAAGGCACAAAUUAGAAGAGAAGGUCGAGCUUGAGGCAAUCUAGUGCCGCGAAUAGUCAUCAAAUCCUCACAUCCAGAAAAGUUGUGCACCAACAGUUUUUGAAUGAAAAAUGCUUAUACUCUAAAUAAAUGCACCAAGAAUACAACAUUACUCUAUUCAUAAUCUUUAACAAUUUUUGAAAGCAAAUUGCUUAUACUCUAACACUAUGUUUGGUUCCAUAAAAUUAAAGGGAAAAUAUGAAAAAAAGAAAAUAAAGAGGAAAUAGAGGAAAAAUAAGUAAAGAAAAAUAAAAAAUAAAUUUAAAAUUAAUAAAUUAUAUUUAUGUUUCUUCAAAUUCAUUUAACUUAUUUUUCUUAAUAAUAUGAAAAUUAAAUAAUUUUAAAAUGCAUCAAUUUCUAACUAAAUUUAGUUAUGUUUGAUUUUCUUUCCGUAUUUUCUAUAGUGAAACUAAACAUAAGAAAAUUAUUUUCUUUAGUAUUUUCCAAAAACCAAAUAGAGUGUAAAUAAAUCUGUUCAAAUAUUUCUAUAAUGAUACAAUUCACUUUGCAUGUAAAUGUUCAAAAAAUGAAAGCUUUCAACAUUUCAAUUAGGGAUUCUUCAUACUAUUUUGCUCUUUUGUGACUUCACCUUUUGGUGGAACCAGUUAACUUUCUUAUGGCUUUAAAUUAAAAUUUGCAAGUAUAUGAAAUAUAUUGAAAUUUUUAACAAAAUCUAAGUAGAAAGAUAUAUUGAAAGGGUUUAUAUAAGCCUCCAAGCUUUAAGGAAUCGGUAUAUCGAAUUUUUCAAAAACAAUUUUCACAAAUUUUCAAAAAAUAUUCUACCAUAUUCUUGUAGAUUCACGAUGAGUGCUCAAGUGCACUUACUACUUGAAUGCUUCAAGAUCUUGAGCACUGGAUAAACGUUUGAACGAUUCCAAUACUUAAACACGACUUCCACCGCUUGAGUGCCCCCUACUUUUUUAAAAUAAUAAAUUAAUCAUUUUUAGUUCAAGAAUAAUACCGAUCUUCCCUAACCUUUAAAUGCCUAACUUGCUACUAACCAAAUCUUUUUAGACAUAUCUAUAACUUUCCAAUUGAGCAGAUAACAACCUUAAAUCUUCAAUAAAGAGUAAGUCAAUAUCUAAAAAGUUUUCUAAGUAAGAAAAUAAUUAAAACAAAAUUGUGAACUUAUAAUGUGGACUCAUUAUCCUAAGAAUUUAUAUUUUAAAUUAGAUGAAUAUCUUAAUUCCCUUAAGUGAAGUUACUUAUAUCUAUGAGCCUUUAAAAAAAAAUGCAAAAGAAAAGAUUCCAAGCAUGAGAAAAAAUGCCCUUUGAAAAUAAAAAAAAUAAUUUCAUGAAUUGGAAAGGAAAUAGAAAAGAAGUCACAACAAAAUUAAUGUAAUGGAAAAUUACAAUAUUUGCAUUCACAUCCAAAAGUCAUGUGACUAUUUUUAAUCCAAAAACAUUAUUCUCCUUGCAUUUCUAAUUUAUAAGAAAAAAAAAACACAAGAAAUAAAGUUGAAUGGAGUGAAGGUUGGUAAUUGUGGAUAAUAAUAAGAGAUUCUGCUUAUUGGGAAAGGUUUUCUAAAAUAAUUCUCAGAAAAAUAAAUUUUAAAAUUAAUUUUGUGAUAUUUUUUUUUAAAAAAGUUUAUAUGGGAACAUACAACACUCUUAACUUAUUUUUUGUAUUUCCAUAUAUUUCUUAAAAAUAACUUUUAUUUCUAAUGUUUUAUUUUUAGUCAUUCUUGUAUUUGUAAAAUUAUUUUUUAAAAUAAAUAUUACAAAAUGAAAACAACUAAAAAUAAUUUAAAUAUAUUCUAAAAAAAACUAUCAUAUUUUCAAGAGCCUAUUUUAGGAAAUUUGAUUUUUCUGAAAAACAAUCUCAAACAUAAUGCUUAUGUCUCAUUUAGGCCUCUUAUGAUGGCAUGAGGAAUGUCUUAUUUUAGAUAAGCAAAAAUAAAAUCAUUUUUUCGAUUGUAACAUAAAAAUAAUACAAAAACAAGUUUCUUACCAUGUUUUUUUAAAAACAUAUCUUGAAAAGUGCUUUUUUUUUUUUUUUUUUUUAAAAUGUUAAAAUACAUUUUUAAAAAUUCAAGCACCUCAAUAACCGAAAAUAAUAGCAUAUGUCUUCAUUGCUUCUAUUAUUCAAAAUGAAAAUAUUUUUAAUUAAAACUUAUUUUAUGUUAUCAAACAAAUAUGAUGAAAAGUAAAAAAUUAUUAAUUAAAUAAAAAUAAAGAAACACUUUCUUUUCUCUAAACCUAUCAAAUAAUUUUUCAAGCAGUAUCUUAAACAUUUUUUUUUCUUUUUAUCUUUUAAAAUGACAUAUUAGAAAGGUUUUCAAAGUUUUGUUAAGAAAAAAAAAGGUAGACAAAAUUUGUUUUGAUAGAAUGGUUUUAAAAAAAAUGGCAACUAAAAUUUUAAUAAUAGUAAAAAUAAAUAAAAUUAUUCAUUUAUUUAUUUUUUCAAGUCCUUCCUCCAUAAUCGUACUGUAGUCGCCUACAAUUUGUUAUUUAUUUUAAAAUUAGAGUUUUUUUUUCUUAAAAUCCCUUGUGAGGACAUGGUUACUGACGCAUGCUUAUGUCCUAAGGUGUUAGGAUGAAGAAUGUUUCAGUUUGGUGCUAGGUAAUGUAAAUAACCUCGAUGUCUGAGAUCCAACCCUCUCCAAUUAAAAGGGGCCCUUUUAAAUGCCCUCGACCUCUUGGUCUAAAACUCCUAACCUACUCUACUAAAUUCAUAAUUUUAGAGAAUAUAUAUUAGAACCUAUAUAAAGUAUGUUAUUUUAAAAACAGAGUUGGUAAAAUAUUAUCUAAAGUUCAUUUCAAAAACUAAGUUCAGUUGUAAACCAUUCUUGAUACAAGCACUCAAACUAGUUGAAGCAUAUUACUGGACAUCUUACAUUGGUUUGAGGUGUAGUAACUUUUCACUUUGCACUUCAUACACAAUACAAACAUACAAGAGAUUUUUUGGCUCAACUUUAUAUUGUAGUAACAAAAACUUUAAUGUAAAAAUAUUAGUUCAAGAAAAAAAAUAAAAUAAUGCACACAAGUAUAUGUUAGGAUAGAGACUUCAAAAAUAUGACAUGAUGUAAUAGAUUUGAAAUUCAUUAUUUAUUUAAUGAUAUUUCAAUUUCACUUUUAUCUAUCCUUAUUCUAUGCAUUGUAUUUUAUGAACAUUUUCUUUUAUCAUCUCUUGCAUUGUAUAUGAUUUGGGUGCAUUAGGAGUUGUACAAAAGAUCCAAGUCAUAAGUUCCUUGCAAAUAGUUGAUUUGCUUAUAAUUGGUUCAUGAAAUUGAGACUAUAAUACACCACCUUUUAAUUGGAGGGAUGGAUGGUCUUGGUCAUCGAAAUAGGGUUCCCAUGGUAAGUGUACUAGUGUGUAUGGUUACAUAUUGGACAUGACCUAUAAUGAGUAAAGACAUAAGGCUAUCGAGUAAUCAUGACUUCACCAAGAUGCUACACUGUAUCGUCUUUCAACUUUGAGAGAAUAUUGAGCUUGUGUUAAAGUUACCAUGACUUUAACUUAUGGGUGAGAUCUUGAAGUGAUCAUGUAGUCCCUAUGGAUUGGGUCAUUGCUAAUGGAAGUCAGUAACAAUAGAUAUUCUUAAUAGAGACACCAAAAUAUCUCAUGAACUUUGAGACUAUGUGUCUCCUUAGGUGAUUCUAAGGAUGCGUGAUCAUGAAAUUUGUGGUGUUGUAGUAAUUUAUUUAGUAAAAUUUGACACAUGCUCUUAGUGAGUAAUAGUAUGUUAUUUGAUCACAUAAUAAGAAGAUUUAUAAUUCAAGUAUGGUAGAGGUAAUCUUGAUAGACUAAUAGUUGUCACUUUGUUAGAUUAUGGAUACCAAUUCAUAGGAACACUAUAUACAGUGGAUAGCAAGUCACAAACUCAAUCAUUUAGUGUCUCAUUAUGAUAUACAUAGGGUAGUAUAGUGCAAUUGAUUCUCUAUGAUGAAAUGUUGAGUUAAUUUUAGAAUUGGAUUCUAAGGGAACUAUUAUUGUCCUAUAAGUCUUAGUGGUCCUUGCCCGACUUCAUAUUCUUUGAUGACAUAGUUUAUAAGAGUUUGAUGGAUUUUUAGUUCACUUAUGUGCAUAAUGACAUUUUGGUAAUUAUGUAAGGUUGCACAAGGGUGAGUGAACGGUAUCUUUGAAUAGGACUAAUUGAUUAAUUUGAGUCUUAUUGAAUUAAUUAAUUAAUUAGUAACCUUUUUGAGUUAUAUUAAGUGACUCAAACUCUAUUAUGGGUUCAAGUCACUUAAGCCCAAUAGAAAGUCUAUAAAUCCCUUUCUUGGGGGUUAAGGUUUUAGUCUUGUUGUCACUCCCUUUAGUCCUCUUAAAGAGAGAACCCUAACCUCCACACUUUAAGAGAUUUCUAUCAUCUUAGUAUUUAGACUUAAGGAAGAGUCAUUAAGUGGAAGAUUGUUGUGUUUAUGAGACCUUUUAUAGAUUUAGAGCUUUAUACAUUGACAAAAAUCGAUAUGAGAACAUUUAGAUCUUAGGUAUGGAAUUAUUCUCUAGAUCUGUAGUAUUAUUUUUGUUUUUGAAUACCAUGUUCAUGCUUUGCUUAGAUCUAAAGAGCUUAGGAUAGGAUUGCAUGUGGCCUAAUGAUCCAAGGCCUAAGAACAAAGUAAUUCGAAGUUCCCAAUAAGGUACACAAGGUUUUAAUAUGAUUCAACCAAUCAUGCCUACAUCUAUAGAUAAGAAAGAAUCAUUUUAUUAUACCAUAAAGAAUAUUACAAAAGACAAAACUAGAUAUAACUAUUAGGUUCUUGAAACAUUUCAUAUUUCUCCACUCCUUGUAUCUACAUCUUGAGCCACUCGCUCUCUCGUUCCACCGGAUGUCUCUCAUUCUUCUUUACAUCUCUAUCUACAUCAUAUAGUCUUUACAAGUUCAUCUUCAUCUCAUAAUUAGCUUGUUUUCCUCAUGACUUAGAAAGUUUAUAGAAAUAUUUCUAAUAACUUUUCUUAUUCUAUAAGAAAAUCUAAUAUUAUAAUGACAUGUAGGAAAUGUUCUAUAUAAUAUUAUUUACAAAAGGAGAUCUAUACUAAUUAGGAAUUUGGGACACUUUCCAACAAUCUCCAUCUUGGAUCAAAUUUCAUUAAGUCAAUCUUCCAUAUUUCUAUGAUACACAUUUUGUAUCACAUCCCAAUAAGAGAACAAUUGACUAUACCUUCAACUAAAAUUCCUUUUAUCAUCAUUUUGUGUGCUCUGCUUUCUUUGGCUCUUCUAGAAAUCAUUGUCUUAAGCUUUGAUAUCAGUUGUUAUGUAUGAGGAAGUUUUGAUACCAGUUUGUUGUGCCAGUGGAAGCUUUGAUGUAAAUGAUGUUAGUGUAAGAAUACAAAGAUAAAAUAGCCCGCACAAAGAUACACGAGGUUUUAAGGUGGUUUGAUCAACUAUGCCUACAUCCACGGAUGAGAGAGAAUCAUUCUAAUACCAUAGAUAAUAUUACAAACAAUUAAACUAGAUACAACUAUUGAGUUCCACAAAACAUCACAUAUUUUCACACUUCUUUUAUUUAUACCCUAAACCAUGAACCUUCUCGUAUUACAUUCUUCCGCACAUCUCUAUCCACCUCAUAUAGUCUUUAUGAACUCAUCUCCAUCUCAUUACUUUUUCUUUUUAUGACCAAUAACAUUUAUAAUGAUAUUCCUAAUAAUUUUCCUUAUUCUAUAAGGAAAUCUAAUAUUAUAAUGACAUGAAUAUUAUAAAUAUUCUAUAUAAUAUUCUUUACAAAAAUGAAUUUAAUUAGAAUUUGAGACAUUUUCCAAUACUUCAAACACAAGAUAAGCACACAAAGAUUUUUUUUUUUUUUAGGUGAUUAUUUAUGCAAUCCAUCCUAUUCACAUGUUGCAUUCAUUAAUUCAACAUUUGCAAGAAGUUUCAUUUGCCUACUAUCUAAUCAAAGAACAAAUUUGCCUCUAUGAAUUUGAGGAAGAACUUCAUUUCUUUCUUAAAUUUAUACAAUAUUAAAGGACAAUAUUUUAUGAACAUGAUUCACCCAUAAAAAUUUCCCCAUCAUUGGAAAAGAUAUGUGCAAGCUAGAGUUAUAUAGAAUAAGGUACCCAUAGACAAAGAACUAAUCCAAAUUUUUUUGAGUUGAAUAUGGGAGGUAGGAUAAUGUAAACAAAAGUUUAAAAUAAAAUGUUAAUUUCAUUCGUCCCCUCUAAGGUUUUGAUUAAAUAAACCUAAUUUUUAUUAGUUUGAAAUUUUAUCAAAUAAUUCUCAUAUCAUUUUCAUUUAUUAUUUUAAUUCAUCUUCUCUUUCACUUAAAAUAAGGAAGGUAUUUGAUAUAAUUUUAAAUUAAUGAGGAUCAGGUGUAUUUAACUAAAAUUUAAAGGGAAGUGAUUAAAAUUAACCCUUAAAAUAAAUUCUCCAUUAUCAACUUUACCACUUCAAGAAGAAAAAAGAAAAUUUCUUAAUAAUUCUCUAAAGCAAGCAAUUUUUUGUAGUUUAAGUUCCUUGGAAAAAAAAUUUCUGAAAUAAAAACACAUGGAACGUAUAAUUGUGAUCAAGUUUCAUUGAAAAAAAAAUCGAGAGACACAGAUAUUAAUCCUUGAUUUUGGAAACAAUUAGAAAAAUAAAUAAAGAUGGAGUUAAUAUUAAUGAUGCGUCAGGUUAAUUUGUUAUUGGAUUCUAAAGUUCUUUCUAUACCAAUUUACAAUUAUGAAAUUUAGUACAUGAGAAUAAAAAAUUAUAUGAUGACCAUAAAAAAGAGGUUGUUUUCUGCAGGAUCUCGUUGACUUCUAUUUCCAUGACUUGUUGUACACUAUGAAGCCAGCCAUCCACUUCAUUGGUGCGCCUCAUUUGUCGUUGCUCUUCAAGAUCAACUCUUCCCUUCACAUCUUCAUGUACAUUCUUCAGCUCCUGCAUUGCAUUUCUCAAAGAGUUCAUAUUUUCCUGCAGAUCCUGGAUGUAGCCGGCAUGCUUGGCUGUGCAGUUCCAUACGCGAGUGACAACAUCCAAGAUUGGGCUCACACAAUCCAUUCCUUGUCUUGAGAGAUGAAAUUCAAACAGAAAAUGGAGAGAUGGGUUUUGUGGGAGAGCAGAAGACUUUUGUUUGUCAAAACAGUUCUCUCUCUCCAAUGAGGAGACUUCUAUGGUCCCAUGCACGCGGUAGGUACCGAAGCGUGAAUUCCCACCGUUGGAUAAGUAAAUCCAAUCAAGACCGUCUAUUUGAUUUUGAGAAGGAAGAAAAAAAAAAAUAAAAAAAAGAUAAAAAACAACCAUCAUCUGUUAGGGGCAUAACAGGUUUCUAUUUGGAUGCUUCAGCCUUCCCCUGAGCACUGGCCCUACAUGCCCAACAAACAAGUGAGAACCUUUUCUACUCUGGACAUAGUUGAACACAAUAAGAAUCUUCCAGCUUUGUUAUUGCACAACUUCAGCUUGUAGCCCUUCCACCCUCAUUCCACACCCUUCUAAAAGGCUCCUUCACCUUCACUAGAUAACAAAAUUCCACACCCUCCAAAAACCUAGGAAGACUCUUUUCCCCAAAUCUAAACCAAGACGACGACAACCCCUCCCCCCCCCCCCCCCCUCCUCUCUACAAUCUUUCCCACCCUCUUACCAUUUACAAACUCCAACGAAAUUUCAAAAGAUUUGGAAUCAACUCCAAACCAGCAUCUUCCACCAAGAGAAACCUUCUUCACCUCUACUUCUUCCAUCACCUUCCUUCCUUCAUGAAAACUUUAAUUGGCCAUGGUUUGCAAUCCCAUCUUGUUUUCAAUAUCUUUCAAUAUUCCAAGAGGAUUUUCAAAUUUGGAAUGAUACACUUAUAGACCUUUGGGUUGGAGAAGGGUUUUUAGAUGAAGUUGACAGCUUACAUGAAGCCUGUGAGAGCAAGGAUAUAGAAUCAUUGUAAGUCUAAAGUUUGCAUGUCCAUUUGAGGAAGGUCAACUUGAACAUCAUGUCAAUAUGCAUAAAGUGAUUCGUGACACGGCGUUGUGGAUAGCUUCUGAAUAUGAUGGUAAGAAGAAUGAAAUCUUGGUACAAGAAGGCAUCAUUUUGAGUGCUGCUAAAAUCACAAAAUUGAAGGAGGUGCAUAGGAUAUUGAUAUGGGAUAACAGUUUUAAACUCACUUCACCCCAUUUUCCCAAUCUCUUUACUCGUCAAAUCUGAUGUGCCAGAGAUAUUUCCCACUGGAUUCAUUCCAGUUAUAAAAGUUCUGGACUUAUCUCAUUCUUAUCUAACUAUGCUACCUGUGGGGAUAGGUAAAUUAGUUAGUUUACAGACAGGUACAAGGGAAUUGCCAAUGGAGCUCAAAGAUUUGACGAAUAAGGUGUUUGAUACUUGAUUCUACUAAGAAUAAUUCUUUCCCAGCUGAUAUCAAAGCUUUCAUCAUUGCAAUUAUUUAGUAUGUGUAUUACCGACAAUUUUAUCUUAUAUUCAGGGUGAAGACCCAGUAAGUGAGUUAGAUUGCUUAGAACACAUAGAUGAGAUCAUCACAAUAACUAGUCUUCUAUCCAUUCAAAAGUUAAUGAGCUCUUGGAAGUUGCAAGGGGGUCUAAGAUGGCUACUACUGUCGAGCUUUGUGGAGCCUAGUUUUGUUUGAUCUGGUUUGAUGACCCGAGCUGAAUAAUAUUGUGUGGUUUUUUUAAUGUGCAGUAUUUUUUGGGCCCGUUUAGCCCAUUAUGGAACCACAUUUUGUAAUUAGGGUUUUUUAGUGUGGUGUGGCGGCCGUGUUUGAGAUAGAGAGAAAAUAUUCUAGCCGAUAGAAGUACUCUGUUUUCUUCUCUGAUAAUAGUGAUAUCCCUGCAACUCUGUGGAUGUAGGCAAAUUGCUGAACUAUGUAAAUAUUGUCUUGUGCGUGUAAUUGUUUUUUCUUUGGCGUGUGUUUUCUCUAUUUUUUUUGUUUCUCAUAGGUUGCGAAUUCAGCUUAAUUUCCUUCAAUUGGUAUCAGAGCCUAGGGUUAGGUUUGAGUGGGAGCAAUGACAGAGGAAGCAGGAAAGGUGUCUGGAAUAGAAAAGUUUGAUGGCACAUACUUUGCGUAUUGGAGGAUGCAGAUUGAAGAUUAUCUCUAUGGGAGGAAAUUGCAUCUGCCUCUUUUGGGGACAAAACCUGAGAGUAUGAAGCCUAAGGAAUUGACACUUCUUGACAGACAGGUUCUAGGAGUUAUUAGGUUAACUUUGUCUAGGUCUGUUGCACACAAUGUUGUAAAGGAGAAGACCACAACAGAUCUGAUGAAGGCUUUGUCUGGUAUGUAUGAAAAGUUGUUUGUAAACAAUAAGGUGCAUCUGAUGAAGAAAUUUUUCAAUUCGAAGAUGGCAGAGAUGCAUCAGUAGCAUAACAUUUGAAUGAAUUUAAUACAAUCACAAAUCAAUUGUCGGCUAUAGAAAUUGAUUUUGAUGAUGAGAUUCGUGCUCUGAUCAUCUUGGCUUUUUUGCCAAACAGUUGGGAGACAAUGAGGAUGGCAGUAAGCAAUUCUACGGGAAAGGAAAAACUCAAGUACAAUGAUAUACGAGAUUUAAUUUUGGCCGAGGAGAUUCGCCGAAGAGAUGCAGGUGAAACCUCAGGAUUUGGUUCUGCCCUAAACCUUAAGAUAAGAGGCAGAGGUAAUGACAGAUAUUCAAACCAGGGUAGAUCAAAAUCCAGAAAUUCUAAUUGGAACAUAAACAAAUCUAGAUCAGGCCAACAAGUACAAUGUUGGAACUGUGGGAAAACAGGUCACUUUAGAAGGUAAUGCAAAAGUCCUAAGAAGAAGAAUGAAGAUGAUUCUGCUAAUGCUGUAACAGAAGAGGUACAAGAUGCAUUACUUCUUGUAGUAGACAGUCCACUUGAUGAUUGGGUUUUGGAUUCAGGAGCUUCGUUUCAUACCACUUCACACCGAGAAAUCAUACAGAAUUAUGCUGCAGGUGAUUUUGGUAAGAUGUAUUUGGUUGAUGGUUCAGCCUUGGAUAUUGUGGGUCUGGGAGACGUUUGGAUAUCGUUGCCCAAUGGGUUUGUUUGGUUACUGGAGAAAGUUCGACAUAUUCCUGACCUGAGGAGGAAUCUGAUUUCUGUUGGACAACUUGAUGAUGAAGGACAUGCAAUACUAUUUGUUGGUAGUACUUGGAAGGUUACAAAGGGAGCUAGGGUAUUGGCUCGUGGAAAGAAGACUGGUACUCUAUAUAUGACCUCAUGUCCAAGAGACACAAUUGCAGUUGUUGAUGCAAGUACUGAUACAAGCCUAUGACACCGUAGACUUGGUCACAUGAGUGAGAAAGGGAUGAAGAUGCUGUUGUUAAAAGGAAAACUACCAGAAUUGAAGUCCAUUGAUUUUGACAUGUGUGAAAGUUGCAUCUUAGGAAAGCAAAAAAGUGUGAGCUUCUUGAAAACUGGCAGGACACCGAAGGCUGAAAAAUUGGAACUAGUACACACUGAUUUGUGGGAGCCUUCUUCAGUUGCAUCCCUUGGAGGUUCAAGGUACUACAUCACUUUUAUUGAUGACUCAAGUAGAAAGGUAUGGAUUUAUUUUCUGAAAAAUAAAUUUGAUGUAUUUGAAACUUUUAAGAAGUGGAAGGCCAUGGUUGAGACAUAAACAGGUUUGAAAGUAAAAUGUUUGAGGUCAGAUAAUGGAGGAGAGUACAUAGAUGGAAGGUUCAGUGAGUAUUGUGAUGCAUAGGGAAUUAGGAUGGAGAAGACCUUUCUUGGGACACCAUAGUAGAAUGGUGUGGCUGAGUGCAUGAACAGAACUCUCAAUGAGCGUGCUAGAAGUAUGAGGUUGCAUGCUGGACUACCAAAAACUUUUUAGGCUGAUGCUGUUAGCACUGCAACUUACCUAAUAAACCGAGGAUCAUCAGUUCCCAUGGAGUUCAGACUUCCUGAGAAGGUUUGGAGCGGUAAAGAGGUAAAGUUUUCACAUUUAAAAGUUUUUUGUUGUGUUUCUUAUGUUCAUAUUGAUUUUGAUGCUCGUAGUAAACUUGAUGCAAAGUCUAAAAUAUGUUUUUUCAUUGGCUAUGGUGAUGAGAAAUUUGGCUAUAGGUUUUGGGAUGAACAAAACAGGAAAAUCAUCAGAAGUAGAAAUGUGAUAUUUAAUGAACAAGUUAUGUACAAGGACAUGUCAACUGUAGUGUCAGAUGUUACAGAGAUAGAUCAAAAGAAAUCUGAGUUUGUCAACUUAGAUGAAUUGACUGAAAGUACUGUCCAAAAAAUGGGUAAAGAAGAUAAGGACAAUGUAAAUUCACAAGUAGAUUUGAGUACAACUGUAGCUGAAGUUCGCAGAUCUUCCAGGAACAUUAGACCUCCACAGCGUUAUUCACCUAUUUUAAAUUAUCUCCUGUUGACUGAUGGUGGUGAGCCAGAGUGUUAUGAUGAAGCCUUACAAGAUGAGAAUUCAAGCAAGUGGGAGUUAGCCAUGAAGGAUGAGAUGGAUUCUUUGUUGGGGAAUCAGACAUGGGAACUGACUAAAUUGCUAGUAGGAAAGAAGGCUUUGCACAACAAGUGGGUAUACAGAAUAAAGAAUGAGCAUGAUGGUAGAAAACGUUACAAGGCCAGAUUAGUUGUUAAAGGGUUCCAACAGAAGGAGGGCAUUGACUACACAAAGAUAUUUUCUCCAGUUGUGAAGAUGUCAACAAUCAGACUUGUACUGGGAAUGGUGGCUACAGAAAACUUACAUCUUGAGCAGUUAGAUGUGAAGACAACAUUCCUUCAUGGUGACUUGGAGGAAGACCUUUACAUGAUUUAGCCAUAAGGGUUCAUUGUUCAGGGACAAGAGAAUCUAGUCUGCAAACUGAGAAAGAGCUUGCAUGGCCUUAAACAAGCUUCUAGACAGUGGUACAAGAAGUUUGAUAGUUUUAUGCAUAGAAUUGGGUUCAAGAGAUGUGAAUCUGAUCACUGUUGCUAUGUUAAGUCUUUUGACAAUUCUUACAUCAUAUUACUGUUGUAUGUGGAUGAUAUGCUUAUUGCAGGGUCUGGUAUUGAGAAGAUUAAUAAUCUGAAGAAGCAAUUAUCUAAACAGUUUGCAAUGAAGGGUUUGGGAGCUGCAAAGCAAAUCCUUGGUAUGAGAAUUAUUAGAGACAAGGCUAAUGGUACAUUGAAGCUUUCACGGUCAGAGUAUGUGAAGAAAGUUCUCAGCAGGUUCAACAUGAAUGAAGCUAAACCAGUGAGCACAUCAUUGGGUAGUCAUUUCAAACUAAGUAAAGAACAGUCACCGAAGAUAGAAGAAGAAAGGGACCAUAUGAGCAAGGUGCCCUAUACCUCAGCUAUUGGCAGCAUGAUGUAUGCUAUGGUGUGUACAAGGCCAGACAUUGCACAUGCAAUGGGAGUUGUGAGCAGAUUCAUGAGUAGGCCUGGAAAGUAGCACUGGGAGGCAGUCAAGUGGAUUCUAAGAUAUCUGAAGGGUUCAUUAGAUACAUGUCUUUGUUUCACAGGUGCAAGUUUGAAAUUGCAGGGUUAUGUAGAUGCUGAUUUUGCUGGUGAUAUUGAUAGUAGAAAGAGUACUACUAUGUUUGUUUUUACUCUAUGUGGUACAACUAUAUCAUGGGCUUCAAAUCUACAGAAGAUUGUUACUUUGUCUACUACAGAAGCUGAGUAUGUUGCAGCAACUGAAGCUGGAAAGGAGAUGAUUUGGCUACAUGGUUUCUUAGAUGAAUUGGGUAAGAAGCAAGAGAUGGGCAUUCUACACAGUGACAGUCAGAGUGUAAAUUUUCUUGCCAAAAAUUCGGCUUUUCAUUCAAAGUCAAAGCAUAUACAAAUAAAAUACCACUUUAUUCGUUACCUUGUUGAAGAUAAACUGGUAAUACUUGAGAAGAUUUGUGGAUCUAAGAACCUGACAGACAUGUUGACUAAGGGUGUCACUAUUGAGAAGUUGAAGUUGUACGCAACUUCAAUUGGUGUUCUAGCUUGAGGACAGGAGGAUGAGUUACAGGGAUGAGGGAUUGUUUCUUGGAGGAUAGCGGUUUGAUGUUGGUGAUUGAACUAGUCUCCAAGUGGGAGAUUUGUCGGGCUUUGUGGAGCCUAGUUUUGUUUGAUCUAGUUUGAUGACUCGACCCGAACAAUAUUGCGUGGUUUUUUUAACGUGCAAUAUUUUUUGGGCCCGUUAAGCCCAUUAUGGAACUGUCUUUUGUAAUUAGGGUUUUUUAGUGUGGUGUGGCGGUCGUGUUUUAGAUAGAGAGCAAAUAUUCUAGCCGAUAGAAGUAUUUUGUAUUCUUCUUUGAUAAUAGUGAUAUCCCUACAACUCCGUGGACGUAGACAAAUUGCCGAACCACGUAAAUACUGUCUUGUGCGUGUGAUUGUUUUUUCUUUGGCGUGUGUUUUCUCUAUUUUUUUUGUUUCUCACAGGUUGGGAAUUCGGCUUAAUUCCCUUCAACUACUUGGAUGCUGUGAAGGUUUGACCACACUCAAACUAUCAUCCUCGCUAAAAAGAAUGGAGAAUUUAAUUAGUGUCUUGUAAUACUUUGGAAAAGAUAGAAGCUGAUCGGGAAAGUGAAGGCAGGGAGGGGGCCAUCCCAGAUAAUAUCAGAUACUUAAGGUUCCACAACCUUCUCAGAGUAACAAUUCAGUUUUACUCAGAGUUGUUGGAUUUGACAUGGCUUAUUUAUGCUCCAAGCCAUCAGGAGCUUUAUGUACGACGGUGCUCAUCAAUUGAACAAGUUAUGCAUGAUGACCACGAAGUUGCAGAUAAGAAAAGCAUAUUCUCAAGGCUCACAGCUCUUAACUUUGAGGAAAUCUACCAAACUUAAAGAGCAUCUACGUGUGGGCCUUGCCAUUUCCUUCCUUGAAACAGAUCCAUGUGAUAGGUUGCCCAAUUCUGAGGAAGCUGCCAUUGGAUUCCAACAGCUCAACCUGUACCUUAAAGCAAAUUACAGGGGAAUCAAGCUGGUGGGAGGAUGAAUCCUUAAACCAAACUUUCACUCGGUAUAUUGUAUUUGACAUUGAUCUGGCCUAACAGCAUGGUGAUUGAAGCUGCUAGAGUCAUAUCACGGAGUGAUUGUAGUCCUUGACACCCAAUUACUCUCUCCAGAGAUGCUCUCCCUCACAAUCACAAAGGUAUCUCUUAUUUUGUUUUCCUUCUGGUUGAUCGAUUGGAGAAAUUUCAAAUAUGUGUGUAUUUGGUCUUCAAGUUCUUCCUAGUCGAAUGCCAUUAUGUGCAUAUGUUUCAUCAUCUAAGUUUUGUUUAGGUAGUAAGAUUUUUCCUUUUUAUUAUGGAGUUGAUAUUAUUAAUCAUUAUUUGGUAAUUGGUGCAUUUUUAAGUGAAUAAGAUUUUUCUUUUUCAUUACUGGUUACUUAGAUUGUAAACAAUUGUUCUGGAAUGGAUUCUGUGUCUUUUUUUUUGCUUUUUUCAUAAUCAUUUUCUCAAUUUUCACCAUAGAAUAACUGAACCGACCAGUGUAGAAUCUGGAAUAAUUAUAAUAGACAAUGAAGAACAAACAUAUAGACUUAAAUAAGAUAGUAACUUCAAUAAAAAAAAAUUUGAUUCAUCACUGAUUACGUUACAGACAACAUGUGUAAUUCUGUAGAUAAAAACCACUUCACCUGAUCCAUCUCAUCGACUUUUACGAGUAUUGUCUAAUCCAUCCUCCUGAUGGGCUAACAAAUAUUUUUUGUGACUAUUAUACAACAUUUUUAUCCACAUGAAAUCAUGUCCUCCUGAUGGGCUCAAGUGGCUUAAGGUAAGGUGGGCUAACAAAUAUGGGCUGUGCAGCAACGUUCAAUAUAGGGACUACUAGUGGCUGAACCGGUUUUCAAAACCAUGGUCAUUUCUCAUAUUUGUAAAAUUAUUUUCUAAAAUAGUUAUGAAAAAAAUAAGUGGAAAGAACAAAAAUAAUUUAAAUAUAUUCUAAAAAAAUAUCAUAUUUUCAAAAACCUAUUUUAGGAAAAAAAAUUUAUUCUAAAAAACAAUCUCAAACAUAAUGUUUAUGUCUCAUCUAUGCCUCUUAUUUCAUAUAAGCAAAAUUAAAAUCUCAUUUUCUAUUGUAACAUAAAAAUAAUACAAAAAACAAGUUCCUUACCAUGUUUUUGAAAAAACAUAUCUUGAAAAUGGGUUAUUUUUUAAAAAAAUAUUAAAAUAUUAUUUUCCACAUUUUUAAAAAUUCAAUCACCUCAAUAAUUGAAAAUAAUAGCAUAUGUCUUCAUUGGUUCUAUUUUUCAAAAGGAAAAAUAUUUUUACUUAAAACUUCUUUUAUGUUAUCACACAUGAGGGAAAAGUAAAAAAUUAUUAAUUAAAUAAAAAUAAAGAAACACUUUUUUUUUUUUAAUUUUAAUUUUUAAUUUUUAUCUUUUAAAUGAAAUAUUAAAAAGGUUUCCAAAGUUUUGUUAAAAAAAAAAACAGACAAAACUUAUAUGGAUAGAACAAUUUUAAAAAAAAAUGGCAAUUAAAAUUUUAAUAACCGUAAAAGUAAACAAAAAUCUUUAGUUAUUGAAUGCAAAUUUCUAUUAUAAUUAAAAUAUUAAAGCCUAUAUAUAUGAUAACUUUGGACAAGAAAAAUCAAAGGUAAAGUUAGCCCAAUUUUGUGGUAUUCCAAGUUGUUGUUUUCUAAUAUAAGUUCUAAUGUGUUUAUUUGUUUUUAGAUUAAAAUGAUUAAUUAUUUAUUAAAGUAAAUGAAAUCCUAAUUUAAAUAAAUAGGGAUAAAAAACGAAUAAAGAUUUUAUAAAAUAUUUAAUGAAAUAAAUCAAAUAAAAAAAAUAAUGUUAUGGAGAGUUCUACAAUCCAAUGUUAAAUCCAAGAGAGUAUUAUAAAAUUUAGGGUAUAGGAUUGAUUAUCUUCUACACUCAAAUAGACACACCACCUUUAGAUCCUCAAUGAUAUUGUGCCCCUGGUCCCAUGCUUCAUGUUGUCAAAUUCAUCGAAAAACCCCUCUCCGAUCCAAAGGUUUAUAAGAUCAUCAUUCAUAAUUUCAUAAUCCUCUUGAAAUACAGCAAGAUAUAGAAAACAAGUCUUGAUGGUGUCAUUUUUCAAGCUAUCAUAACUAAAUUUCAGUAGCAGAUAUACAUGAUCUCCCAUACCUGAAAAUUUUGAUGGGUAAGUCUUCAACAUUUGUAUCGCUUGCUCCCAUUCUUGUACUCUGUUCUUGCCAGCCAUAGCUCGCCCAAUAGUAACAAGUGCAAGUGGUAAAACUUGGCUCUCUCUGGCAGCUAUUUCAUCGAGUUGCAGUAUAUCUGGAUGUGAAUUUAGAGUACGUAGUCUCUCCAAUCUUCUCCUUAAACAAAUUAAUAGCCUCAUCUGGUGUCAAACGCUCCACCUUAAUACUUUUUGUGAGCAUCCAUAUUGUGGCGAUUAAACAUCUAGAGACCGGGUUGUUAAUAUCACCUUGGACUUACAUGGGGAAUUUGGAGAAGGAACCCCCAACUUUUGGAGAUCAAGCUGCUCCCAUACAUCAUCUAGCAACAUCACGAACUUUUUUGCCUUCAAGACAUUGAAAAUUUCUACUGCUUUUUCAUCCUCAGUUCUGUUUCUCCAUUUAUGAUUCAAGAUGUCUCACUUGUUGCGAAUGACUUCUUGUAACACUUGCAGGCCUGGACACUACAACCCCAAUGGAGACUUCAAAGUCCUUGCUUGCUCUGAUGAACUCAUUAUUCAAUUUGCUCAUGAGGGUAGUUUUUCUGGCACCCCCAUUCCAUACAAUCAAUAAUUCCGAGUUGUUCAUCUUCGAUGCAUUUGCAAACCUCAGCAUACAUCAGAUCUAAGCCCAAGGUCAUCUCCAUCGGCCUCUCAUCCACUGGAGCUUGAGGUAACCUAUGAGCCACAACAUCAAAACGUCCUUUCUUCCUUAAUUCAGUCACUGCACUGUGCUUUUUACUUGCUUUCUUCCUGAGCUUGUAGCUGCACCAGCAGUUUAUGGGGCAACAAAUUCCAGGGCAUUUCUUCUGGAUCUCCUGAUCCCAUUCUGCAGCAUCUCAUUGACUUGUAUUUCCAUGACUUGUACACCAUGGAGCCAUCCGUCCACUUCAUUUGUGCGCGUCAUUUGUCGUUGCUCUUCAAGUUCAACUCUUCUUUCACAUCAUCAUGUACAUUCUUCAGCACUGGCACUAUAUGCCCAGCAAACAUGAGAUUGCAAUAGACAACCUCUAUACAUGAUAAAAAUCAUUUGGGCAAUGAGUCCUCGUCACAUUUUGGAUGUGAUUACUCUGGGUUUUAACAUUUCAAUUAGGAAUUAUUCCUAUUGUUCUUAUUGUAGGGAGCACUCCUAAGCGCACACGUGGCAGCCUCACAGAACACUCCUCCAUUGGACACAUGGCACAUUCAACCCUCUGUCCGGAUUUUCCUCAUGGGGCACGUGGCACUCUCAACUCUUCAUCCGGACGACCAUGGGACCGGUGUGCUAUCCACACUCCCUUGUCUGGACGUCCUGUCCGGACCCAAUGCCAAUGUCUUAGACAAAAGUCUUGACUGUGUUUCGCGGGCUAUCAUUAUUCAUACUACUAAAAGUAUGCUCGAUGGGACCCUCCUGGGUCACUUCAGGCAACCUGUCACGACUUGCACCCCGCCGCCUGCAGAGCGAAAAGACAGGGAUGACGACAAGUCAUCCAUCCCAUAAUUUCUGACAGUCGCCUGUAGAACAAUGAUGGCUCUACCACCAUCUUAGCACCAUCAUGACAAGCCAAAAAGUCUUCCCACCAUCAAAGGGGACAAAGCUCCUGACACUAUAAAAGACCCUCACGCAAUAAAAGAAGGUAAGCAUUCUUGCCAGCCAUAGCUCGCCCAAUAGUGAUGAGUGCAAGAGGUAAGCCUUUGCAUUCUUUAGCAUCAAUUUCAGCGAGUUGGGGUAUAAUCGGAUGUGAAUUUAGAGUAGUCUCUCCAACUUUCUUCUUGAACAAAUAAAUAGCCUCAUCUUUUAUCAAACACUCCACAUUAAGGCUUUUUCGAGCUUCCAUAUCCCAACAAACAUCCAAAGAGCGGUUGUUAAUAUUACUUUGGACUUGUUUUGGGAAUUAGGAGAAGGAACCCCCACUUUUUUGGAGAUCAAGCCGCUCCCAUACAUCAUCUAGCAGCAUCACAAACCUUUUUGCCUUCAAGACAUUGAAAAUUUCUACUGCUUUUUCAUCCUCAGUUCUGUUUCUCCAUCUAUUAUCUGGGAUGUCUAACUUGUUGCGAAUGACUUCUUGUAUUUUUUCCACACUUGUAGGUCUAGAUACUACAACCCAAAUGGCGAUUUCAAAGCUCUUACUUGCUUUAAUGAACUCAUUAUUCACUUUGGUCAUGAGGGUAGUGUUAGAAUAAUUAUGGACUCUCAUAUAUUAAUAAUUGUUUAUGAUUAAGCUAUUCAUAUAUAUUCAAUUUAUAUUUAUUAUUAAGUAUGAGCCACCUUGUGUGUAGAACCCAAGUCACAUGUGUCUCACAUGAUGGGCCUAAGACACAUGUGGCCCAAUAGCCCAAUAGGCAUGGUUUCUAAGGCAUAGAGGAAGUUAAUAAAUAAAGAAUAAAAAAUUUUGGUAUCUAUUCAAUUUUCUUUUGAAAAUACAGAACGUUCCCUCUUCUACCUCCCAUCACAAGAGAGAAAAUAUAAGGUGGUUUCUUCUUCUAUUGCUUUAGAAGAACCAUAUUUCUUCAAGAUUGCUAAUGGAUUUGGGUUUGUCUACAUCCUUUAAAAUAAUAGACAUGUUUUCUUUAUAUGAUUUAACAUGAGAUUUCUGUUUUUGGGUUGAUAAUGGAGUUUUCAACAACUGGUAUCAAAUCAUGCCACACAUAUGUGUGUUGUAUAUAUUAAUGAUGUGCCAGUAUAGUGGGAGUUUGUAUUUGGGUUUUGUGUUUGUUUUCUUGAUGUAUUGUUAUGAUUGUGUUAUCUGUACAAACUUUAUGACUAUUUUUAGUCAUAAAGUAGGACCAAUUGGAAAUAGACAUAUUAAAGAUCACAUUUUAUGUAAUUUCCAUGCUAUACAUCCAUACUUGAUCCAUGUUGCUAAUUUUGUUAAUGUUGUGAUCAUUUAUGGGUCUAGUUAUAGUUAUGAUUAAUGAAGGCCGCUUUAAUCCUAUGUUAACAUAAUUAGUAGAAGAGAUUGUUUAAGGAUAUUUGAAUAGGAUAGCAAAGAUGAGCUCAACAAAGUAUUAUCAUGAACAUUGUUCGGUAAUAUAUGUGGUCCAAGUGGGAGAUUGUUAGAAUAAUUCUGGACUCACAUAUAUUAAUAAUUGUUUAUGAUUAAGCAAUUCAUAUAUAUUCAAUUUAUAUUUAUUAUUAAGUAUGGACCACCUUGUGUGUAGAGCCCAAGUCACAUGUGUCUUACAUGAUGGGCCUAAGACACAUGUGGCCCAACAACCCAAUGGGUAUGGUCCUUAAGGCAUAGAGGAAGUUAAUAAAUAAGGAAUCAAAAAGUUUGGUGUCUAUUCAAUUUUCUUUUGAAAAUACAGAACGUUCCCUCUCCUGCCUCCCAUCACAAGAGAGAAAACAUAAGGUGGUUUCUUCCUAUAUUGCUUUAAAAGAACCAUAUUUCUUCAAAAUUGCCAAUGGAUUCAUGUUUGUCUACAUCCUUUAAAAUAAUCGACAUUUUUUCUUUAUAUGAUUUAACAUGAGAUUUCUAUUUUGGGGUUGAUAAUGGAGUUUUCAACACGUAGUUUUCCCGGCACCCCCAUACUGUACAACCCAAUGAUUCCCAGUUCCUCAUCUUGGAUGCAUCUGCAAACCUCUGCAUACAUACGCUCUAAGCCCACAAUCUUAUCCAUCGGCCUCUCAUCUACUGGAGAUUGAGGUAACCUAUCAGCCACAACAUCAAAGCGUCCCUUGUUCCUUAAUUCAGUCACAACACCCAACUUUUUACUCGCUUUCUUCCCAAGCUUGUAGCUAGACCGACAGUUUCUGGGGCAACAAGUUCCAGGGCAUUUCUUCUGGAUUUUCCGAUCGCCUUUCUGUAGGAUCUCGUUGAUUUGUAUUUCCAUGGCUAGUACACUAUGGAGCCAACCGUCCACUUCAUUUGUGCGCCUCAUUUGUUGUUGCUCUUCAAGUUCAACUCUUCCCUUCACCUCUUGGUAUACGUUUUUUAGCUCUUGCAUUGCGUUUCUUAGCAAGUCCAUAUUUUCCUAUAGAUCCCUGAUGUAGACUGCAUGCUUGGUUGUGCAGUCCCAUAAGCGACUGACAAGAUCCAAGAUUGGGCUCACACAAUCCAUUCCUUGUUUUUCAGAGAUGAAAUUGAACGAAAAAGCAGAAAAUGGAGAGAUGGGUUUUGUUCAUCAAAACAAUUCUCUCUCCUCCAAUAAGGAGACUUCUAUGGUCCCAUGCACGCCGUAGGUAUCAAAGCGUGAAUUCCCACCGUUGGAUAAGUCAAUCCAAUCAAGACUGUCUAUUUGAUUUUACAAAGGGUUUUAAGAAUAUGCAGAGGGGGAAUCUUGUCAGAAUUAGGGAUGGCAAUGGGACGAGUUUUUUAGGGUACCCAUCCCGCCCCGUCCCUAAUGGGACGAAGUUCAAUUUUAAUAAACUGGUUUGGGACGGGUUUGAGAUUUUUUUUUAAAAUCCAGGAUGGAUUUGGGGUGGGUUUGGGUAUUGUCCCGUCCUGCCCCGCCUUGUUUAUAAAUAAAUGAAUAUAUAACAUAUAAUAUAUAUUCCUACUGACACAUCCCCCAUCUCCCAUAUCCAUUCAUAUCCUCAUAAGGAUAAUCAUCGAGAUGGUCGAUCUGGUGUCUGGGAUGCACAACCAUCGAGAUGGUCUCCGAAAAACCAGCAUGGGAAGAUUGCGGCGCUGAUACUUUCUUUUGAAUUGGGUUCUCCGACGAACUGCCGAAGUUCCCAACUCAGUUAUCGGAUUUGGGCCGCGAUUUUAUCGAGAAAUGCUUGAGGAGAGAGCCCAUUGAAAGGUGGAGCUGCAAUCAGCUGUUGCAAUACCCAUUUAUAUUAUCUUCAUCCCUCAAUUACAUCACAGAAGCAUCCCCGAGAUUGGUCCUCAACUGCUUCAAUUUUAGUGACGAAGAAAUCGAACUGAACCCCAAUCCUGCCCCAAAAAAUUCAGUUUUUGCCCAUGAUAGAAUCCAAAAAUUAGCUUCAAACAGAGGGCCUUUAGGAAUCAGAAGAUUGGAUGGACGUUAAGCCAUGGAUCAGUGACAGAGCAAAAGCAACAACGGCGAGCUAUUGUGGGGACGAAGGAGAAGGGACCAAUUCGGCAUAUUCGAAUUUCAUAUGGAAAACAAAGGAAAAGUGAGAAAACAUUCGCCGAAUAUCCAAGUAAAAACUUUUAAAAGUAAUUUUUAAAAAAAAUUAAAAUUCAAAAAAAAAGUUAAACGGGGCGGGGCCGGGCAGGUAUGAGAAUUUAUCAUACCCGUCCCGUCCCGUCUUGUCCUGCCUCGCCCCGUUUAAUUUUUUAAAUGGGACGGGGAUGUGAAUUAUUUUAAAUAAAUGGGGCGGGGUUGGGAUGGGGGCGACCCGUCCCGAACCCGCCCCGUUGCCAUCCCUAGUCAGAAUAUAUAUUGUGAGAGGGACAGAAAUAAUAUAAGUGUUUAACUACUUGUUCAUCGAAGUUGAAUAAAAAGGAUUAAGAAAUUAAUGCAUGUUUGGAUAAAUAAAAGUUUUAUUUUUUUAUUUAUUUUUUUAUUUUUUUAUUUAUAAAAAGUAAGUACAUAACUCAUGUAGUUGAAAAUAUUUUUAAAAAUUUAACAAAUUAAAAUUUUUCAUUUUUUUUAUUUUGAAAAAUGUUUUUAAUAACAUAAUAGUAAAUUUCCCUUUUUUUUUAUUUUUUAUUUUUAUUUAUAAGAAUUGUUAUAUUUUAUAUAAGAAUUUUUAGUUUUAAAAGUAAAGAAUAAAAAGUGUAUCUGAUGAAUGCUUUAAACGAAUGAACAUCCGUUAUUUGCGGGUUUUCCAUUAGAGUAGAGUAUUUUUUAAAAAAAUUUGUAAUAAAAAAAAUAAUUAUAAAAUUAUGAUAUUUUUCAAUUUUAAGUGGAUUUUUUUUUAAACGAGUUUAGUGUAAAAAUGAACUUAUCUUUUCGAUGAGUUUAGUAUAAAAAAAAAAGUAAAUUUGUUUUUUGAAAAGUAGAGUUCAAUAUAAAAGGUUUUAGGAUAAAAAUGGAAUUCGUUUGUUGAAAAGACAAGGUCUUUUGAAAUAUCAAGUUUAGUGCAAAAAUAAAAGACAAGAUGAAAAAUAUUGAUUUUUGCAUUUAUUUCUUAAACAAUUAUAUUUUAAUAAUAUCUUUCAAAAAAAAUAAAAAUUCACAUGGGCAGUCUUGGUCAUUGGCGCCACAGUCUGUCACGGGCUCUAAAAAAAACCUUUUUUGCAGUCCAAGACAGAGAUUCAACAUAGAAAGGAGAGAAGAUAAUAGAUUCUUUUUUAUAUGGCCAUUUGUAGAUUCAUUCAGGCUCUAUUUCAAAUUUAUCAUUUCCAAUUACGUAUAUAUUCUGCCUCAACUAUCACAUUUAAUUAAUUAUUAAUUAUUAAUUAAUUAUUUGUUUGACUUCUCAUCUCAACAUCAUUUCAUGAUGAAUAAUACGAGAAAAAUAAAAGAUAAAAGAAAAAAAAUAAAUAAUAAAUAAAAAUAGACUCAAAAUUAAUAAAUCAUUUUAAAUGUUUUUUUAAAUUUAUUUUACUUAUUUUUCUGUUAUAUAAAAAUUAAAUAAUUUUAAAAUGUAUAAAUUUCUCAUUAAAUCCGUAUCUAUUGAAGGUUAUUUUAUAUGGCUGUUUGCAGUUUCAUUUAGCCUUGAUUUCAAUAUAUUAUUUCCCAUCACCGCUUCAACUGUCAUAUUUAAUUAAUCAUUUAAAAUAAAGUUAUUAAUUACUUGUUGAACUUUUGGUCUCACUAUCAUGAUGGAUAUGGUUACCAAUUAACCAAAAGGAAUUAUGAUAUACAACUGAAAUUACUUAGAGAACACUGCGAGAAGACGACAACAUGUAGGAUUCAGUAACUCAACAUUUGCAAGAACUUCCGAUUGAGUCAAGUGUUCAUCAAAAUCUUGUCCGGUAAAAACAAGAGAGCAAAUCAAUUGGAUCAUCAAUCGCUGACUAUCUAAAUCAAAGAACAAAUUUGCUUGAGAAAGAACUUCAUUUCUUUCUUAAAUUUAUUCAAUAAUGAAGUGAAUCUGAUUAUUUAGGUGUUUUAAAAUGGGAAUGUAAAAUAUUUUAAUUGAAUUCAAACUUAUUUAGAAUCAGGCUAUAAACAAAGAACUAAUCCAAAUUUAUUGGUAUUGAAUGUUGAAACUAAGAUAAUGUAAACAAAAUUUAAAAUAAAGACUUAAAUUCAUUCACCUCCCUAUAAGUUUUGGUUAAAACAAAGAAUAUUUUUAAACUGUUUUAGGUUGUUUUCACUUAUUUCUCAUAACUAUUUUUUAAAAAUAAUUAUAUAAAUAAUAAUUAAAAAUAAAAUAUCACAUAUAAAAAUUAUUUUUUAAAUAUAUUUUAAACCCUUAAAAACAUGUUAAAAAUAUUUUGAAUUUUUAAACAAAUUUUUAUUUUAUAAAAUAUUAAAAAAUAAUUUUCAAAAACUAUUUUGUUUUAGACAACAGUUACAAGCGAACCAUAAUUUUUUCUUACUAGUUAAUGUGUUUGAACUAGUUAAAAAUGAGAAUAAGAACAAAAUAUUUAAUUUCAUGGAAACCAAAAUGCAUUCUCAUUAGGAUUUUGACUUCUUCCAUAAGGUAUUGUAAUUCACCUAUAUUUCCAUUUCAAUUAUAGGCAUGCUCAUGUCCUAAAAAUCUUUUGACCUAUUAUGCUAAACUCAUACUUCUAGUGAACAUAAACUAGAAUCUGUCCAAAGUGUAUGCUUUCAAAAACACAUAAUAAAAUAUUACGUAAAAUUUGUUUUAAAAACCAAGUCCACUUGUAAAUCAUCUUCUUCUUAUGACUGUUCAUUUUUUAAAUACUACUAGAGCAUAGUUUCUAGACCAAUUUUUGAUACCUUUUCAAACAUACAAGAGUUUCCAAUACAAAAUCUAAAAUUGAGUAUGUAUAGAUCUUAUAUCACUACUUCAACAAAUUGCAAUUCUUGAUACAAGCACUCUUAAGCAGUUGAACUUGAAACAUGUAAGAAUUAGGUAUCUUACAUUCAUUGAGGGGCAGUAGCUUCACACUUAGCACAUAGAGAAUUUUUCACUCAACUUUACACAAUGCAAACAAACAAGAUAUAUAUAUAUAUAUAUAUAUAUAUAUAUAUAUAUAUAUAUAUAUAUAUAUUUUAAAUGACUAUUUAUGCAACCCAUCCAUCCUAUGCGCACAAAGCAUCCAGUGAUUCAACAAUUGCUAGGAGUUUCAGCUGAGCCAAAGUAUUCUUCAGGAACUUCUCCUACAAACACAACAUAUAUAGCAAAUCAGCUGGAUCAUUUGCCUAUCAUCUAAGUUGAAGACAAAUAUAUUUCUAUGAAUCUGAGAAAAAACUGUUUCUCAUUCUAAAACCUAAACAAUAGUGAAGCAAAUUUGAAUAUUUAGAUUAAAUUGGAGGAACAAUUCAUGAGAAUUAUCGAUCAUAAAAAUUUCCGAUCCUUGAAAAAGAUAGGUGCAAACUAUGAAUUAUUAUGAGGGUACAUAUAUUUAUAUUGUAGUAAUUUAUUUGAAUAAUUACAAGCAUAUUAGAAUAUUUUUCUAAACUAUUUUAAAUAAAUAAUAAAAAUAAUAAUUAAUAAAUGCAAUAAAAUAAUAAAGUGACAAAUAACAUGUACAAAAUUAUUAUAUAUAUGAUAUCAAUUUAUAUACAUCAGAAAAAAUAGUAAUAUCAUCAUUUAUAAUUAAUAGUAUGUCUCAAACCAUAACAAAUAUAUAUAUAUAUAUAUAUAUAUAUAUAUAUAUAUAUAUAUAUAUAUAUAUAUAUAUAUUAUAUAAAGUUUUAGUUAUAUCUAUUUUCACAAUCUUUUACAUUUUUCUUUUUUAAAAAAAAACAAUUUUUAGUUUUCUUAAAUAAUCUCAUUUUUUAAGAAAAGAAAAAUAAGAAACAGAUAACUUUUUUAAAAAGUAAAAAUAUAAAAAUAAAACUAAAAAACAUUUUCUAAACCCAAUGCAACUUAAAAUUUUUAUAAUAAUUCUAUCAAGGAGUUUUUUGGUAGUUUAAGUUCCUUCGGGUAAAAUAAUAUUAAAAAUAAACAUGCAUGGAACAAAUAGUUUUUAUUAGGUUUCACUAAAAGAAAUCAAGAGGCUUUGACUCCGAGAACAAAUAGAAAAAUAAGCAAAUGGAAAAAAGACUGAGAUAAUAUUGAUGAUGCAUCAAGUAUCUCAUUGGACCCAAAAGUUCUUCCUUAACCUGCUUUACAAAUAUGAAUUUUAGGAUCUGAGAAUACAAACUAAGAUGGCCACAGGAGAAAAAGAGGUUAUUUUGUCUGUUUUUUUUUCUGUAAAAAAAAAGGAAAUGAUAAUGUUUUAUGAAUACUUUCUUUUUAACACAUAACUAAAUUUAUUGAGAUGAGUAACAGGUGAGGCAAUAAAAAAAAUAAAACAAAAGAAGGAAAAGAAAAGAAAAUAUAGCUUACCAAUUCCAAACUAAAUAAAAUUCUUAGCAGAAAAAAAAAAUAAUAAACAAUGAAAACAGUACCUGAGAGAGCAUGGGAGAAAGCAGGUAAAGGGGUGGGAGAAGGAAGGAGUGCAGCUUCUCCACUAUUGUGUCAUUUCUUCACUUGAAGUAGGGAGUGAAAGUGAGCUGAAAGGUUUCAUCCUCCCACUGCAACCCUUGCCACCACUUUGAUUCCCCUCUAAUUGACUUUAAACUGUUUCUUGCACUGUUUGAAUCUAAUGGCAACUUUCUUAGGUUUGGGCAUUCUCUCACCUGGAGGUAUCUCAAGGAAGGAAAUGACAAGGCCCGUCUACUGAUGCUCCUUAGAUUUGGUAGAUUAUGCAAGUUCAAACCUUUGAGUCUUGAGAAUAUGCCAAGAUUUUGAGGGACCCCACUCGCAUCACCUAUCACUUCUUCCAUGGAUUCACAUUCAUGUACAAAAAGUUGUUCAAGACUUGGGAUGUAAAUAAUCCAUGUCAAGUCCAACAACUUUGGAAGUUGAUCAAUAUUGACCUCGCGAAGGCUGUAGAAAUUCGAGUCUGGCAUAUAAUCUGCUACAAAUCCCUGUCCUCCCUCCUUUUCCAGAUCUACUUCUAUCUUUUGCAACUCCCGACAUUCACAUAUUUUAAGAUUAUCUAGAUGUUUCAUUCUUGGCAAUUGGAGUGAGGUCAUGCCUUCCAAUUUCCCAAGGCCUAGACCCCUCAUAACAUUCUGUAGUUUCUGGGAGCUUAAUAACUUUUGGAAAGACAAAGCACCUACGAUGGGAAAAUAGACCCAAUUUAUGUGUUCCAACCCUUCCAACUCCUCCAAUAAUGCUUUAUUAUUCUCCCACAAGUAAAGAGCUUCAUAAUCCUCCCUUGAAUAAUCGGGUCCCUCCUCUUUGGGUGAAUGACUAGCUUUUUCCUCCACUAAUGAAUAACUAAAUCCUACUAGAAAAAUUCUCAUCAUUGAGAGAUUUGAUAUUACUUCACUCGGAAUUAUUUGAAGAUAUGGCAUAUCAUCUAAUACCAGAUAUCUUAUUCUUUUCAAAGUUUUAAGCUCCGCCGACAAUUCUGUUACUAAUGUACCUGUUAAAUUGAGAUACUCUAGUGUAACUAAAUUACCAAUUCCAGUUGGUAACUCAGUUAUCAUGGUACCUGACAAAUCCAAAACUUUUAUAAUCGGCAUAAAAUGGAAGAAUCCACUCGAAAAGAAUCUAUCAGUAAAUGUUUGGAAGUUACCACUUUUACUCCUAACAAUUAAAGUCAAGAGUUUGGGAAAAUACAAUGGUACAGUGAGUUCUAGAGGGCUUUUAGUCCAAAAAGAUAUCCUUUGCGCUUCUUUCCACUUUGAAAUUCGGUGAGCUUUCACAGUAUUAUUUUCUUCUACCAAAAUUUUGUUCUUAUUGCCACUAUAUGUUGUAGAUAACCACAAAGCCAUAUCACGAAUAACAUCAUGCAUUUUAACCUUAUGAUAAUAUUCAUCACUACUCUCAAAUAGACAUGCUGUCUUUAGAUGCUCAAUCAUGUCAUGCCCUUGGUUAAAUGCUUCAUCAAUGUUAUCACAUUCAUCCAAAAACCCUUCUCCAAUCCAGAGGAAUAUAAGAUCAUCAUCUCUAAUUUCAUAGUCCUCUCGGAAUAUAGCAAGAUACAAAAAACAAGCCUUGAUGGUGUCAUCUGACAAGUUAUCAUAACUGAAUUUUAGGAUCGGAAAUACAUGAUCUCCCAUACCUGAAAACUUUGACGGAUAAGUCUUCAACAUUUGUAUGGCUCGCUCCCAUUCUUGUGGUGUGUUCUUCCUGGCCAUAGCUCGCCCAAUUGUGACGAGUGCAAGUGGUAAACCUUUGCACUCUUUAGCAGCAAUUUCGGCAAACUGGGGUAUAUCUGGAUGUGAAUUUAGAGUGGUCUCUCCAACCUUCUCCUUGAACAAAUUCAUAGCCUCCUGUUCUGUCAAACACUCCACCUUAAUGCUUUUUUGAGCUUCCAUAUCACGACAAACAUCCAGAGAUCGGGUUGUUAAUAUUACUUUGGACUUGUUUUGGGAAUCAGGAGGAGGAACACCCACCUUAUGGAGAUCAAGCCGCUCCCAUACAUCAUCCAGCAACAUCACGAACCUUUUUGCCUUCAAGACAUUGAAAAUUUCUACUGCUUUUUCAUACCCAGCUCUGUCUCUCCAUCUAUUAUCCGGGAUGUCUAACUUGUUGCGAAUGACUUCUUGUACUUUUCCCACACUUGCAGGCCUGGAUACUACAACCCAUAUGGCAAUUUCAAAGUCCUUGCUUGCUCUGAUGAAUUCGUUAUUCACUUUGGUCAUGAGGGUAGUUUUCCCGGCACCCCCCAUACCAUACAAUCCAAUAAUUCCCAGUUGUUCAUCUUGGAUGCAUCUGCAAACCUCUGCAUACAUCAGAUCUAAGCCCACGGUCUUCUCCAGCGGCCUCUCAUCCACUGGAGCUUGAGGUAAACUAUCAGCCACAACAUCAAAACGUCCUUUGUUCCUUAAGUCAGUCAGAGCACCGAACAUUUCACUUGCUUUCUUCCCGAGCUUGUAUCUGGACCGGCAGUUUCUGGGACAAGAAGUUCCUAUGCAUUUCUUCUGGAUUUCCUGAUCGCCUUUCUGCAGAAUCUCAUUGACUUCUUUUUCCAUGACUUGUACACGAUGGAGCCAGCCGUUCACUUCAUUUGUGCGCCUCAUUUGUCGUUGCUCCUCACGUUCAACUCUUCUGUUUACAUCGUCAUGUACAUCCCUCAGCUCCUGCAUUGCGUUUCUUAAAGAGUCCAUAUUUUGCUGCAAAUCCCUGAUGGAGACUGCGUGCUUGGCUGUGCAGUCCCAUAAGCGAGUUACAACAUCCAAGAUUGGGCUCACACAAUCCAUUCCUUGUCUUGAGAGAUGAAAGAAAGAAGGGGUGAAAUUCAAGGAAAGAUGAGAAAGUGGGAGAGCAGAGAAGACUUCUGGUGGUCAAAAACAGUUCAAUCUCUCCGAUUAAGGAAUUUCGAUAUGGGUGAUCGCGUUAUCGCUAGUCACACAAUUGGAGGACACCCCUGACCCCACCUCUGACAUAACUUCGAUAAUUUUAUUCGAAGGCUGCUUUUCCACCCGUUAUCAUUUUCUUCUCAAGUGUGGACUUUACUUUCUAAAAAGACAAGGAAGUUUCAUAUUAAGAUUCCGUAGUGUUUCCUGUUAUGACUCCCUGAUCACAUUCUGGGUGUGAUUAAUUAGUCAGGGUUUUAGCUCUUCUACAGAAAUUGGUUAACUUUAUCAUGGUUUAACUUAAAAUUUGCAAGUAUGAAUAAAUUAAUUAAAUUUUUGAAGAAUCUGACUGGCAAAACCUUUUGCUCUGGAUGAGAAAGUUUGUGAACUCUCUGAUCAGAAAUUACCCCUCGUUUUUGCUGUCUAAUAGGAGAAUCUUGCUUGCAACCAAAUGAAUGGAAGAUGAUGUUUUAAAUCACUUCGGAAAACUUUUUAGAAUGUAGGGAAUCAUGUUAGGAUAUAUGUUGUGAGACACAUGGAGAGAAUAUAAGGUUAUGUUUGGCAUCAAUUUUUAAAAACAGUUUUCUAUUUUUUGAAAACAAGAAAAAAAUUCAAGAGUGUUUUUAAAAAACACUUUUUAAUUGUUUUCAAAUGUCUUCUCGGUUGUGGUUGUUUUGCUACUGAAAGCUUUAAUAUAAACAUUGUUAGUUCAAGAAUGUAAAAAUAAAAUAAAGAUAUAUGAAAUUUUAACAUAAUUAUGUUAAACAAGUAUACAUCCAUAUAUAAGAGAAAUUAUUUCAUUAUCUCAUAAAGAAUAUUAUCGAUAACAGAAUUAAAUAUAAUUAUUGAGUUUCCAAAACAUUUUAUAUUUCCCAACUCCUUAUAUUUAUGCCCAAAACCAAGAGUCCCCUCACUUUACGAAUAUCUCCCAUUCUUCUUCAUCUUUCUAUCCAUCUCGUAUGAUCUCUUCAAACCCAUGUAAUCUCAUAACUUUUUCCACUUAUGACUUAAAAUAUUCAUGGAGAUAUUCCUAAUAUUUUCUUUAUUCUAUAAGGAAAUAUAAUAUUAUAACAUAUUUAUUUGGAAUAUAUUUUAUACAAUAUUCUUUACAAAAAUAAAUCAAUAGUAAUUAGAGAUUUGAUAUGCUUUUUAACAAUGUCCUUUUUGGGUGAAAUUAGAGCAAUAUUUUGCAUCUCAAACCAGGGCUAAAAUCGGACAGUUUAAGGAUCAACUUAAGACUACGAAAAAGGGAUCUUUGAAUGUUGUUGAAUAUCUAUCCAAAAUCAAGAGUUGUGUUGAUUCUUUAACCUCGGUUGGUCACAUACUUACAGAUAAGGACCAUAUUGAUGCUAUUCUAGAUGGCCUCAUUGAUGAGUAUGAUGCUUUCAUCACCUCCAUCCUUACUAGAUCUGAAUCAUAUACAAUAGAAGAAGUUGAGUCUUUGAUUAUGGCAUAAGAAACUAGAAUUGAAAAGAAUGCUAAAUCUCUUGAUUCUGCAUCAAGUGUCAGUUUUGCCUCGUCUUUUACUAAUAAUGGUUUUGGAGGUCGUGGCAGAAGCAAUUUCUCUACCAACUUUGGUCCUGGAAGAGGUCAAGGUAAUGGAGGUCGUUUCAAUGCUGGAAACUUUGGUAGAGAUAGAAAUUUUAAUGGAGGCAGAGGAAAUGGUGGCAGAUCUGGCUGGAAUAACAACUGGAAUAAUACUGGCAAACCUCAGUGCCAACUUUGUCGAAGGUUUGGACAUGAAGUUAAGAGGUGUUACUACAGGCUUGAUCCAAGUUUUGUUAGUCCAACCUCUUCUUCUCAAAAUAGUCGUGGUCCUCGUGCUUAUUUCAGCCAAGCCUCUCCUCAUUCCUCAACUUUGUUUACAACACCUGAGGUGUUCAAUGAUAACUCUUGGUACCUUGAUUCUGGUGCUUCAAAUCAUGUCACACCAAAUGCUAUAAUCUUCAGCACAACACUGAAUUUACUGGUGAAGACAAAGUACACAUUGGUGAUGGUUCAGGUUUGUCAAUUUCACGAAUUGGUCAUUCUUCUUUACUUUCCUCUCUUACUCCUAAAGUGCUCUCCUUAAAUCAUAUGCUUUUGGUUCCUUCUAUUACAAAGAAUCUUCUUAGUGUUUCCAGAUUUGCAAAAGAUAAUAAUGUCUUCUUUGAAUUCCAUUCCGAUGCUUGUUUUGUUAAGGAUCAGGAUUCUCAAACCGUUCUUCUUACCGGGAAAGUUAAAGAUGGUCUAUACUCGUUUGAUUCAUCAAAUUUGUGUCUUGCUCAUCCAGAAGCUGCCUUCAACAUUUGUCAAUCAUCCUCUAUUGUAAAAAGCUGCAAUGUUCAAACCUGUACUGUUUCAAAUCCUUGUGAUUCAAUAAAGCCAAAUGUCUUUGAUCUUUGGCAUGCCAGAUUAGGUCAUCCUUCUAUUCAAGUUGUAAAAACAAUUCUUUCACAGUGUAAUGUCCCUAAUAUCAAUAAAAUGACACCUUCAUUUUGUUCAUCAUGUUGUUUAAGCAAAAUUCAUAAAUUUCCAUUUUCCAAAUCUGAAACAGUUUAUACCGCUCCUCUACAAUUGAUUCAUUUUGAUCUAUGGGGUCCAGCUCCUGUCCCUUCAAGUAGUGGUUAUAGAUACUAUGUUCAUUUUGUGGAUGCCUAUUCUAAAUUCACCUGGUUAUAUCUUCUUAAAAAUAAAUCUGAUGUCGUCCAAACCUUUAUCAAUUUCAAAACUCAAGUUGAAUUUCAACUUGACUCCAAAAUAAAAGCUUUUCAAUCUGAUUGGGGUGGUGAAUUUAGAUCUUUUCAGUCAUCCUUACUCAACAUGGUAUCAUUCAUAGAGUGUCUUGCCCUCAUACUCAAGAACAAAAUGGAGUGGCUGAAAGAAAACAUCGGCACAUUGUUGAAAAUGGUUUAGCCUUGUUAGCUAAAUCUUCAAUUCCUCUCAAAUAUUGGAAUGAAGCUUUUAGAACUGCUGUGUUUCUUCAUAAUAGACUUCCAACUCCUAUCCUGAAACAAAAAUGUCCUUUAGAACUUCUCUUCAAAACCAAACCCAACUAUUUUUUUCUAAAAGUGUUUGGUUGUGCAUGCUAUCCUAACACUUGUCCUUUUAACAAACAUAAAUUGGAAUUUAGGAGCAUUAUUUGCAUUUUUAUGGAAUACAUCUUAAACCACAAGGGAAAUAAGUGCUUGGAUUCAAAUGGAAAGCUAUAUAUUUCUAGAGAUGUUAUAUUUGAUGAAAUAACAUUUCCAUUUGCUCAAACUGAUCAAUCUUCCUAUUCUAUCCAUAAUUCCUCUUCAUUGUCCAAUUCUACUCCAUCUGCUAGUCCACCUAUUCUCACAAUCCCCUCUCAAACUCAUUCUCAUCCUAUUCUCACAGUCCCCAUUGACAGGCCAAUCAAUGAGGUUGAUUUACCUUCUGUUCCUGAUGUACAUUCUAUUUCUCUAGUAACUGAUGUUGUUGUGCAGGAUAUUGUUCUUCUGGUAAUACUAAUUUGAAUAGAAUGACAGGUCAACCAAGAGUUCAAGGGAACACUCAUGUCAUGACAACAAGAAGAAAAAAGGGCAUUGCCAAACCUAAAGUGUAUAUUGCAGCAGUAAAGGAACCAGAGACAGUUGAGUUAGCUUUACAAAAGGAUGAGUGGAAACAAGCCAUGAUAUCUAAGUUUGAAGCUUUGCAAAGAAACAACACUUGGUCUUUAGUACCCUUGCUUGAAGAAAGAAUACCUAUUGCUUGUAGAUGUGUCUAUAAGGUCAAAGAAAAUCCUGAUGGUAGUGUCGGAAAAUACAAAGCUAGGUUAGUAGCCAAGGGCUUCCAUCAAUAAGCUGGAUUUGAUUUUAAUGAGACUUUUAGCCCAGUUGUGAAACCAACAACUAUCAGGAUUGUACUCACCAUUGCCUUAUCUAGAGGUUGGAGUGUUAGGCAAUUGGAUAUAAAUAAUGCCUUUUUGAAUGGUAUUUUACAAGAAGAAGUGUUUAUGUCACAACCUCAAGGCUUUGUGGAUGAGAAACACCCUGAAUAUGUUUGUAGACUACAUAAAGCUCUCUAUGGACUCAAACAGGCACCACGGGCUUGGUUUGAGAGACUUCACAAAGCACUUCUGUAGUUUGGAUUUGUCUCUUCCAAGGCAGAUCAAUCUCUCUUUUUCAGGAUUACAUCAACUCAUACCACCUACAUUAUUGUCUAUGUAGAUGAUAUUUUGGUAACUGGAAGCAAUGCAGAGGUAGUAACUACUCUUAUUAAACAAUUGGAUGUUGAGUUCUCUUUGAAAGAUCUAGGAGAAAUAACCUAUUUUUUGGGCAUUCAGGUUACUCGUACAGUAAAUGGGUUUCAUCUCUCUCAACAAAAGUAUAUAAGGGAUCUUUUGGUGAAAACUAAAAUGUUGCAGGCCAAGGGUUUUCCCACUCCCAUUACUAGUGGCUUAAAGAUUAGUUCCCAAGAUGGAGUACCAAUUGAAAAUGCUCAGCUAUACAGAAGUACAGUAGGAGCUUUACAAUAUGUUACCGUAACUAGACCUAAAUUGGCAUAUAGUGUCAAUAAAGUUUGUCAAUUUAUGCAAAGGCCUACGGAUGAGCAUUGGAAGGUUGUAAAACGCAUUCUAAGGUACUUAAGAGCAACCAUGGAUUAUGGCAUUCAUUUAAAGAAAGUUGUUGAGUUGAGUUCAAUUGGAUUUUCUUAUGCUGAUUGGGGUUCAAACCCUGAUGAUAGACGAUCGGUUUUAGGUCACUGUGUCUUCUUUGGCAAUAAUAUUGUGUCUUGGCAUUCCAGAAAACAACAAACAGUUUCCCGUUCCAGCAUAGAGGCAGAAUAUAGAAGUUUGGCUGAAUUAGUUGUUGAAGUAACCUGGAUUCAAUCCUUACUAUCUGAAUUGCAGUGCAAGACACCUAGAAUACCGGUUCUAUGGUGUGAUAAUCUCAGCACAGUUUUGUUAUCUACCAAUCCCAUUCUUCAUGCUCGAACAAAGCACAUAGAAUUGGAUAUUUACUUUGUAAGGGAAAAAGUUUUGAAGAAAGACAUGGAUAUAAGACAUGUACCAGUAAAUGAACAAGUGGUUGAUAUUCUAACUAAAGCAAUCUCCAGUGGACAGUUUAAUCAAAUGAGGAACAAACUCAAAGUGGAAGGCCUUACAACUUUGAGUUUGAAGGGAGAUGUUAGGAAUAGUGGUUAAUGGUUGUUGUCCACGUGUAUAGCUUAGUUAGAAUAAAACAGAAUUAGUUGGUUGUUUUUGUUAGUAUAAAACAGAGUCAGUUAGUUGACUAAGAAGGGUAUUUAUACCUUGCUGUAAUCAUUCAUUCUUGGGUAAUGAAAAAUUCCUUUCUCUGUUGAGUUUUCUUAUAGUUUUUAGCAUUAUUUUCGAAAACACUUUCCAAAUAGAGUGUAAAUGUUGGUCAUUCUAUGUGUAAGGCAAUUGAAAAGAGAGAAAGAGAAUCAAAUUGAGAAGAAAAUGGACAAGGAGAAAUAUAAGAGGAUGAAAUGAAAUGAAAAGAAUAAAGAAUUUAGUUAAUGUGUUUAGAAUGCACACAACUCAAUAUUAUGGAAGGUGUUGUAUUGUAUAGGGAUGUGAAUAAGAUGGGUUUUUUUUGUUUCCCAUCUCACUCCUUAUAGAAUAAAUUUAUGAUAACUAUAAAUGAGAUUUGUGAUGGGUAUGACUUUAUCAUGUCUCAUCCCAAUUAUAUAUAUUAAAUCAAAAUUUUGUUUUAUUUGAUUUGAUUUUUUAUUUCUCAAAUUUUUUUGACAUAUAUAACAUAGAAAAUUUACUUUUUAUAAAAAUAAGUCAUAAAUAUUUAUUAUUUAUAACUUGUAUUUAUUUUUAAUAUAUUUAAAAUUUUUUAAAUAAAAAAAAUUAAAUGAGUAGGACAAAUAUAAGAAUUUCUACACCCAUCCUACCCCCGCAAUAUUUAGUUUUGUUUUUUUAAAUAGGGAUUUGAAUAGAUAUAAAUAAAUAAGAUGGAUGGUGUCAUUGUGUUGUGUAAUAACAUUUGAUAAUGGUGAUUAGUGACUAACAACCUUUAUCAAUAGUGGCCGAAAGAGACAAGCCCAUACCAUUCUCCUGUCCCACAUUACUUCAACAAUGCAAAGUGAAGGCUCUAGUAUUCCUAGUUUUCAUUAAGCUUCUAUCCCAAAUCUAUUAUUUCCCUUUACCUAUUAUGCUUCAACUUUCAUAUUUAAUCAAGUAUUUAAUAAUUUAAAAUCAAAUUAUUAAUUAUUUGUUUCAUUUAUGGUCUUCAUAUCAUAUUAUGAGGGAUCAAAAGGAAGAAAUAUGAUAGAAAACUGAAAUUGUUAAGAGAUUUCUACUAUGAAACGUUAACAAAUUAAGUGAAAUUUGAAAUGAUAUUUGAAAUUAGGUACUCAUGAAUAAAUAACUCAUCCAAAUUUAUUGGAGCAAAUGUCCAAGGUAAAAUAAUGUAAACAAAGUUGAAAAUGGAUUAACCAUUAACAUCGUCAAGGCUUCAAAAAUGAAAAUUUAAAUUUCAUAGUGAUUCUUUAAAGUAAGCAAUUUUUCAUAGUUGUAUGAAAUAAUUCUGAAAAUAAACAUGGGACCCAUAUAGUUGUAAUUAAGUUUCAUUGAAAAAAAAAAUCAGGAACCAAGUCUUUUUGUUUAAUAUAUUUUAUAUUUUUAUUUUCAAAUAAAAUAGAAAAUAAGUUGGAGAAUAUUUGUAGGGAUCCAUCAAUAGUAAGUACUAAAGUGUAUUUUUUAAAAUUUAAGAAAGUAAUUUUUUUUAUUUUUUAAAAUUUUAAAAAAGUUUUUAACGACAUGGUGAUAAAUUUCCUUUUUUAUUUUAAUGAUUUAUUUAUUUUUAUUUUUUUAUAAGGCUGUUAUAUUUUAUAUAAGAAUUUUUAAUUUUAAAAGUAAAGAAUAAGAAGUAUAUCCAAUGAAUGCUUUAAACUAACACCCAUUAUUUGAGGGUUUUUUUAUUUUUAUUUUUUAUGGGAGUAGAGUACUUUUAAAAAACUCGUAACAUAAAAAAUAAUUUUAAAAUUAUGAUGCUUUUCAAUUUCAAGUAAAUCUCAUCUUUUAAAAAGACGAGUUUAAUGUAAAAUGUUUUCAAAUAGAAAAAGAAUUUAUCAUUUGAAAAGUUGAAUUCAAUAUAAAAAAGUGAACUUAUUUUUUUUAGAAGAUGAGUUUAGUGCAAAAAUAAAAGAAAUGAUGAAAAAAUCUGUAUUUUUGUAUUUAUUUUUUAAAUAUUAUAUUUUAAUAAUAUAUAUAUUUUUAAAAAAUAAUAUUAAAAAAAAAAAAAUCACGUCGGUAGUCUUGGUUAUUGGCGCCACAAUCUGUCAUGGGCUCUAAAAAAAAAAAUCUUUUUUUUGCGGUCCAAGAUAUAGAAAUUCAACAUAGCAAGAAGAAAAGAUAACAGAAUAAGUGAUGAGUUGCUUGAGAGUGGUUUGCCCGAAUCUCAAUCCACUAAUUUGAACGAAAAUUGCUUAUACUUUAAUGUUAUGUUUAUUUCUCGAAAAAUUUAAGAGAAAAUGUGAGAAAAAGAAAAUAAAAAAAAUAUGAGAAAAAUAAAAAACAAGAAAAAUAAAUUCAAAAUCAAUAAAUUAUUUUAUAUACUUCUUCAAAUUAAUUUUACUUAUUUUCUUUCAUUAUAUAAAUAUUAAAUAAUUUUAAAAUUCAUAAAUUUUUAAUUAAAUUUAGUUAUAUUUGAUUUUUUUUCCUAUUUCUUAUAGUGAAAUCAAAUAUAAUAAAACUUUUUUUUUUAAAUAUUUUUUGCCUUGGUGCUGAACCAAACAUAAUCUAAGUAAAUUUGUUCAAAUAUUUUUGUACAACUCACUUUGCAUGUAAAUGUUUCAAAAAAUGAAAAGUUUUAACAUUUGAAUUGGGGAUUCUUCGUAUCAUUCUCCUUUUGGAAGUAGUUAACUUUUUUAUGGCUUUAAAUUAAAAUUUGCAAAUAUAUAUAUAUAGAACAUAUUGAGAUUUUUAACAAAAUCUAAGUAGAAAGAAAACUUCAACUUUGGAAGAGAAAAUCUAUGAAAACUCUUAUCCAAAAUUACCCCUUGUUUAUAGAAGAAUCUUGCUUGCAACCCAAAUGAAGAGGAGAUAAUGUUGUAAAUCACUUUGGAAUCUUUUACGAAUAUACCAAGACUUCUUAUAUUUUGUCUGAAUGCUCAAAAACAGCACCCACUAUUAGGACAGUCUAGGCGUCUUGGGCCACAAUCUGUCAUGGUCUCUAAAAAAUAUCAUUAGUUUUAUGCAUGUUUCCAUUCUUUUUCUUUGAUCCUUGUUUUUUAGUCCACUGAGAAAAUAAUAAGAAAUCAUUGUAAAAAUAAGACCCCGAAAUUCAACAUAGAAAGAUGAUAAGAGAAUAGAAUAGAAUAGUAGGUGAUGAGUUGUCAAGGGAGGUUUGCUCAAAUCUCUAUCUCCUAAAGGUUAUUUUAUAUGGCCAUUUGCAGUUUCAUUAAGCCUCGAUUUCAAUAUAUUAUUUCCCAUCACCGCUUCAACUAUCAUAUUUAAUUAAUUAUUUAAUCAUUUAAAAUCAAAUUAUUAAUUAUUUGUUGGACUUUUGGUUUCAAUACCAUGAUGGAUAAGGAUGCCAACCCAAAAGAAAUAUAAUAUACAGCCGAAAUUACUUAGAAACCAUUGCACCAAGACAAGAGAGCAAAUCAACUGGAUCGUCAUUGGCCGACAAUAUAAAUCAAAGAACAAAUUUACUUCUCUGAAUAUGAGAAAGAACUUCAUUUCUUUCUUAAAUUUAUACAAUAAUGAAGUGAAUCUAAUUAUUUAGCGAUUCUAUAAUGGAAAUGUAAAAUUUUUUAAUUGAAUUUGAACCUUACUUAGAAUUAGGCCAUAAACGAAGAACUAAUCCAAACUUAUUGGUGUUAAUUGUUGCACCUGAGAUAAUGUAAACAAAAUUUAAAAUAAAAAGUUAAAUUCAUUCACCUAUCUCGUAAUUGCUUUUAAAAUUAAUUAUACAAAUAUAGAUAAUAAUUAAAAAUAAAGUAUUAUAUAAAAAAAAAUUAUUUUUAAAACAUAUUCAAACUCUUAAAAUAUGUUUAAAAUAUUUCAGAUUUUAAAACAAAAUUUUAUUUUAUAAAACAUUAUAAAAUAAUUUUAAAAAACUAUUUUAUUUUAAAAAACAGUUACAGACAAACUAUAAUUUUUUCUUAUAAGUUAAUGUGUUUGAACUAAUUAGAAAUGAGAAUAGGAGCAAAAUAUUUAUUUUCAUGGAAACCAAAAUACAUUUUUGUUAGGAUUUUGACUUCUUCUUCCAUAAGGUAUUGUACUUCACCUAUAUUUUGAUUUCAAUUAUUACACAUUUUAAGGCAUAGGUUUUGAGGUAUGCUCAUGCCCUAAAUCUUUUGAAUUACUAUGCUAUACUCAUAUUUUUAGUGACCAUAAAUUAGAACCCCGUCUAAAGUAUAUACUUUCAAAAACAUCUAUAAUAAAACCUAAAAUUUAUCAAAUGAAAAAGUUAAUUAAUAUUUCAUUAUUAGAAAAGAUAAAUCAUAUAUCAUAGAGUGAAAUAUAAUUUUUUUAUUUAUUUCAUUUUUUGCUUUAUUAACUUUGUAUUUUACAAUUUUUAUUAACAUUCAUUAAAUUUAUAGUUUUAUGAUUUUGUUGUUUAGUGAUCAAAAUCAAUGUGGCAUAAAUGGUCAAGGUAUUAAUGCUUUGCUUGUUUGAAUUUUAUUUUAAAAAAGAAAAAAUCAAAUCAACCCAUGGGGCCAUGCAUUUUAAAUCAACCAAGCAAUUAAUAAUUAGAUUUUAAAUUAUUAAAUAAUUAAUUUAAUAUCAUAGUUAAAACAGAAUAAGUAAUGGGAAAUAAUAAAAUAUGACAUAGAGGCUUAAUGAAGUUGCAAAUGAUAAUAUAAAAGAAAGACCCUGUAGUGGAUUCAGAUUUGAGCUAAGCGUGUGAGCUCAACAAGAAAGAAAAGAACAAAAGAGGUGAUGAACAUUACUCCUCUACUCCUAUGGUUAAUAAAUAUCUGUUAGGAGAAAAAGGAAUAUCGCCCAAUAUGAAAUUGUUGUAAUCUUUAGCAGCAAUUUCAGCUAGCUUAGAGAAAGUGGUUGUCGAAAAGAAAAGAAUAUCUUGAGAGAUGAAAGAAACAAGAGGUGAGAUUCAAGAAAAGAAGAGAAAGUGGGAGAGCAGAGACGAUUUGUGGUUGUCGAAAACAGUUCAAUCUCUCCGAUUAAGGAAUUCCAAUAUGGGUGAUCGCAUUAUUGCUAGUUACACUGUUGGAAGACACCCCUGACCCCACCUCCGACAUAACUUCAAUAAUUUUAUUCAAAGGCUGCUUUUCCACGCAUUUCAUUUUCUUUUCUGAGUGUCGACUUUACUUUCUGAAAAGACAAGGACGUUUCAUAUCAAGAUCCCAUAGUGUUUCCUGUUAUGAGUCCCUGGUCACAUUCUGGGUGUGAUUAAUUAGUCAGAGUUUUAGCUCUUCACUUGUGGUUGUCAAAAACAGAUCAAUCUCCCUGAUGAAGGAAUUCCAAUUCGCAGUGUGGACUUUACUUUCCAAAACGAAAAAAAAAGUUUGAUGUCAAGAUUCCAGAGUGUUUCUUAUUUUGAGUCCCUGAUCACAUUAUGGAUCUGACUAGUCUGGGCUUUAGCAUUUCAAUAUAUCAGACUGCUCCUCAUCCCUUUGAAGUGAUUGAUCAAGGGAGGCUAUUGGUUAUUAAUGGAGCUGAAUAUGCAAUCCUUUGGAAGGCGUUGUGCUGUGCAAUGACAUCUGAUAAUGGUGAUUAGUGGCCCACAAUCUUGAUUAAUGGUGGCGAAAGAGAUAAGGCCACUACCAUUCUCCUGUCCCACAUUACUUCAAUAAUGGAAAGUAACGAGUACUCCACUACUCACCAGUUUCAUUAAGCUUCUAUUCCAAAUCUAUUAUUUCCCCUUACCUACUCCGCUUCAACUAUCAUAUUUAAUCAAGUAUUUAAUAAUUUAAAAUCAAAUUAUUAAUUAUUUGUUUCAUUUAUGAUCUCCAUAUCAUAUUAUGAUGGAUGAAGAAAUAUGAUAGAAAACUGAAAUUACCAAGAGAUUUCUACAAUGAAAUGUGAACAUAUCAAGUGAAAUUUGAAUUGAUCUUUAGAAAUAGGUACCUGUAAACAAAAACUAAUCCAAAUUUAUUGGAGUAAAUGUCCAAGGUAAAAGAAUGUAAACAAAGUUGAAAAUGGAUUCACCAUUACCAUCUUCAAUCAAGAAUGAAAAUUAAUAUUUUCAUAAUGAUUCUUUAAAGCUAGCAAUUUUUCAUAUUUAUAUGAAAUAAUUUUGAAAAUAAACAUGCAUGGGACCCAUAUAGUUGUAAUUAUUUUUCAUUGGGAAAAAAAAAUAAGGAGACAUAAAUAUUAAGUCUUUUUGUUUAAGAUGUUUUCUAUUUUUAUUUUAAAAAAAUAGAAAAUAAGUUGGAGAAUAUUUUUAGGGAUCCAUCUAUCGUAUUAAAGUGUAUUUUUUUCUAUAGGUAUCGAAAGACAUCAUCAAUUAGGUGGUGACACAUAUACAUCUUCAAAUAUUUUUUAUUUUAUUUCAUAUUCUAAUCACAUUUAUUUGUAUCUUUAUACCUUGGUCUCAUCUGUUUAUACUCUCAUUUGAUGACCUUGAUCUUACCAUACACAUUCAAUAGUCGAACUUUAGAUACUUCCCAACAUUUAUUAUUGGGAAGCGCUUCAAAUUCCUUUUGCGUUUGGAUUGCUUUAUUUAUUUAUUUAUUUUCAUUAAUAUGUUUACUUUGAUACCUUCAUUGAAUUGUCCCUGAGCCCAGGUUAAAAUUUGUGAAAAGGUAAAAAGGAACACAAAAACACAAAACAAUAAUAAAAGAAAUUUUAGUUGAAUGUGUAGUCAACUGUACUCUUGUAAAGAAGUGAUAGAAAGAUUCAAUUAUGUUUUUCAUCUUCUCCAUGGCAUUUAUGAAAUAUUCAAGGAUAUUUUAUAGAUUAAAGAUAUAAUAUGCUUGUUUGGGUUUUAUUCUGAUUCACCUAUAUUUAUUUAAUAAAAUUAAAAAGUAAAUAAAAUUUCUAUGAUCUAUGUAUGAAGUCAAUUUAAAAAAAAAAAAUCAUAUCAUGAUCGGUAUUAACAAGAUCAAUAAUCUAUAUCUAAAAUCAUCUAAUUUUCUAAAUUAUAUAUUGUAAAACCAAGGUUUGGUUAAUUUUGAUUUUGAUGAUAACAAAAUAAGAUUUAGAACUAAUGAUUAUAUUUCAAGUGUGAUUAAGCAAAAAGAUUUCCAAAAUGACAAUCAUAAAGACAAAUCAAGCCAAAUAAAAAUCAUGAAGAAGAAGACGACCUCAAAGACCCAAGCUUCAUAAGAUUUUUUUGUAAGGUUGUUGGUGCACUAGAAUUUUCAUGCAUUACAUUCUUUACUUAUCCACCAAAAUUAUCCAAGAGUUAUUUUGUUUUAAAUUGGAUGAUUUCAUGUUAUCAAUUAAAACCUUGUCAAAUAUUUUUCAAACUUGUUUAAAAUGUUUUAAGUUGAAAAAGUUGGUUGUUGAGCAAAAAAUGGCUCAACCAGUUGAACCGGAUGAGGAACCAGUCGACCCCUCAACUCAACCGAUCGAGAGGUGCAAAAAAUCUUCUCUCUCUUCCAGAACAGUUGUUCAACCGGUCAAUGUGUGACCAUUAACCAGUUGAGAUCAAACGGUCACCUGUUAAGCAUUAAAUGCUAACAGCUAGUCAACUAGUCGACCUCUGGCUUGAUCGGUCGAACCCCCAACGACUAGUUUGGUUUUUUUCCUUUAUAAAAAGGCUCCAAAUCUUCAUUUUUUAUGAGUUUAACCUUCCCAAACCUUUCUUGAAUAUAUUUGAGUUUUGGAAGAGUGUUUUUUAGUGCACCAUUGUUCUAAAACUUGCAUAUCUUUUGUGCAUCAUUCAAUCUUUGAGCCUAAAGUUUUAUACUAGGAGUUUGUGAAAUUAUUUGUAUACUUUGAGAGGAAGAAUCUAAGUAUAAGGUAUCACUUAGGAAUUCUCAAGUGAGAAGUAUCACUUGAGGGGUUGUCUAAAAGUGGGGUAUCUCUUGAGAAGUGUAAAGGAUGCUUGGAGUCAAAAGUCCAAGAGGGUGGAUUGGAACCAUAAUCCAAUUGUAUUGCUUGAAGUCUUGGUUUGCAAGCCUUAAAUUAGUGGAAUCUCAAGUUUGGGAUUAAAGUUAAAGGAGAGUGGAUGUAGGCCGAGUUGCGUAGAACUACUAUAAAAUCUUGCGUUUGCAUUCUCUCUUCCCUAUUCUUUUACUUUAUAUUCAAUUGUCUUUAUAUUGUUUUAUUAUAUACUUGUAUAUGAUUGUCUCUUAUAUUCACGUAGUUUAAAUUUGGAAAAAUAAAUCAUCACCCUUUUCACCUCCUCUCCCUUUAUGGUGAUUACCAUAAGUUGGAUUAGCCUAAUUUUUCUAACAUGUAUCAUCAUAUAACCUUAAUUUCUCUUAAAAGAAUAAUAAAUUAGUAUGAGUGAAAUAAAAUUCUGACAUUCCAUCAUCAAUAAAUACAACUAAAAAUAGUUAAAAGAAGUAAAAUAUUAUAUAUAAAUAAUUAAAAAAACGUAAAAUGUUUCAUCGUUUUAUCUUUAAUAAUAUCAUAGUGAACAAAUGAUAAAAUACAAAUGUAUCAAUAUUUUGUAUUUUAUGAAGUAAAAAGUUAUUAAUAUGUUAUUAUUAAAAAAGAUCAAUUAUAUAUUAAAGAGUGAAAUAUAAUUUUUUAUUUUUUUAUUUUUUCUUUAUUAACUUUAUAUUUUACAAUUUUUAUUCACAUUUUAUUAAAUUUAUAGCUUUAUGAUUUUGUUGUUUGGUGUUGACAUAAAUAUGUGUAUAUAUAAGCAUAAUCAAAGUCAACAUGGCAUAAAUGGUUAUGGUCUUCAUCCUCUGCUUGUUUGAAUUUUAUUAAAAAAAAAAAAAAGGAAAAAAGAAAAAAUCAAAUCAACCCGUGGGCCCAUGCAUUUUAAAUGAUAAUUGAAAAUGUUGACAACACUUUGUUUAAGGGCAAGAGUACUGAGGCAUGCUCAUUUCUUAAGGUGUUAUAAUAUAAACUAGAAAUUCUCUAAAUAUAUCGUGAGAUGGCAGGACAAAAGCUCGAACCUCUUUAAUGUAUGUGCUUUUAAAAACUCGAUUGGUGAAGUAUUACCUAAAAUUUAUUUCAAAUCCCAAGUUGAGAAAUUGUCAUUCUUAAUACAAGCACUCCAAUCAAUUAAAGCGAAUAAAAAUUACAGUAGCUUCAUGGUAUGGCACCUUACAUACAAUCCAAAUAUACAAGAGCUGUUUUCACUCAUCUUUACACACAAUAUAAGCACAAAGGAUUAUUUUUUUUUAUUUUUUUUGUCUCUUUGGAUGUUUAUUUCUGCAAUCCACCCUGUGCACACUUAGCAUCCAGAAAUUCAAACAUUUGCAAGAAGUUUCAGUUGAGUUCGAGCAUUCUUCAAAAUCUUAUCCUACAAAAAUAAAAACACAAAUCAGUUGGAUCAUUGGCCUAUAAUCUAAAAAAAAAAAAAAAAGUGAAUUUGAAUAUUUAACUUAUGCGAACAACAAUUCAUUAAUGUUAUCAAUCAUAACAAAUUAUAAUAAGUAGCUGCAAAGGAUAAGUAUAAACUAGAGUUAUUUACAAUUUAUAUAAUGAAAAUGUAAACAAAUUAAUUCAAAUUUGAAGUAAUAUUUAAAAAUACGUAUCCAUAAACAAACAACUAAUCCAAAUUCUUUAGAAUUGUAAGCCCUAGUUAAGAUAAUGUAGACAAAGUGUAAAAUAAGUUCAUUUUUAGCAUUUUCAUAAUAAUUCUCCAAAGUAGGUAUUUUCAGGUUCUAAAUUUCUCAAGAGUAAAAUAAUUUUGAAAAUAAACAUGCAUGUAAGAGAUGGUUUUAAUUAAGUUUCAUUGUAAAAAUAAAAAAUCAAGAGACGUACAGAAAUAUUAGGUCCUUAUCUCUAGAACAAAUAAUAAAUAAAAAGAUUGAGAUAAUAGUAGUGAUGCAUCAAGUAUGUUAUUGGAUCCAAAAGUUAUGCCUCAAUCUGUUUUACAAACAUGUAUUUUAGGAUAUGGAAAAAGAAAAUAGGAUCAACAUUAAGAAAAGUUAUUUUGUUUGGAGUUUUAUUAAUAGUUUCUUUUUAAAUUAUAACUAAAUUCAUUGGGCUGAGUAAUGGGUGAGGUAAGGAAAAAAAAUAAAACAAAAGAAAUUUAUAACAGAAAAAUGUGAACAUGAAGACACAUGAGACAUUUGAAACUUUGUCCCAAAAAAGAAGGCAGUACCUGAGAGAGCAUGGGAGAAUGUCAUCUUCUCAUAUCUUCACUACCACUCUUUAAAGUAGGGAGUGAAAGUGAGUUGAAUGGUUUCAUCCUUCCACUGCAACCCUUGCCACCACUCUGAUUCCCCUCGAAUCCUCUUUAAACCGUUUCUUGCACUGUUUGAAUCCAAUGGCAGCUUCCUUAGGUUUGGGCAUUCCAUCACGCUGAUGGUUUUCAAGGAAGGAAAUGGCAAGGCUCGUCUACUUAUGCUCCUUAGAUUUGGUAGGUGAUAAAAGUUCAUACUUUCAAGUCUUGAGAAUAUGCCAAGAUUUUCAGGGACCCUACUUGCAUCACCUAUCACUUCUUCCAUGGAUUCACAGUGAUAUACACUAAGAUGUUCAAGACUUGGGAUGUAAAUAAGCCAUGUCAAGUCCAGCAACUUUGGAAGUUGAUUAACAUGUACCGAGCGGAGGUUGUAGAAAAUUGAGUUUGGGAUAUAAUCUGCUACAAAUCCCCGUUUACCCCUCUCAUUUUCUAGAUUGACUUUUAUGUCUUGUAGCUCCCCACAUCUAUAUAUUGCAAGGCUAUGUAGAUGGUUGAUUCUUGGCAAUUGGAGUAUGCUUAUACCUUCCAAGUUCCAAAGGUGUAAACGCCUCAUAGCAUUCUGCAAUUUUUGGGAGUUCAAUAACUUUUGGAAAGACAAAGUACCUACAAUGGGCAAAGAGACCCAAUUUAUGUGCUCCAACCCUUCUAACUCCUCUAAUAAUGCUUUAUUAUCCUCAUGUAAAUAAAUAGCCUUAUCAGCCUUCCUUGAAUAAUUGACUUCCUCCUCUGUGGAUGACGAAAUAUAAUUUCUUUUUGACAACAUAUAUUUAACUCUUAUACUAAAAACUCUCAACAGUGAGAGAUGUGAUAUUACUUCCUUAAAAAUUAUUUCAAGACUACCUUCUAAUAACAGAUAUCUUAGUCUUUUCAAAGUUGCAAGCUCCGGAGACAAUUCUCUUAGAUCUGUAUUUAACAAAUUGAGAUAUUGCAAUGUAACUAAUUUACCAAUUCCAGUAGGUAAUUUAGUUAUUCUAGCAUUUGACAAAUCCAGAACUUUUAUAACCGGCGUGAAAUGAAAGAAUCCACUCGGAAAUGUUCCCAGGCCUCUACUCCUAACAAUUAAAGUCAAGAGAUUGGGAAAAGAUGGUGGUAUAGUGAGUUCUUCCAAACUACUUGUCGACAGGUAUAUCCGUUGUGCCUCUUUCGCCUUUGAAACUUGGUGAACUUCCAUAGUAUCAACUUCUUCUACCAAGAUUAUGUUCUUAUUGCCCCUAUAUUCUGAAGCUAACCAUAAAGCCAUAUCACGAAUGACAUCAUGCAUUUUAACCCUAUCAAAUUCAGCAUUCUCGAAUAGACAUACUGUCUUUAGAUGCUCAAUGAUGUGGUGCCCAUGGUUUAAUGCUUCAUCUAUGCUAACAAAUCCAUCCAAAAACCCUUCUCCAAUCCAAAGGAAUAUAAGAUCCUCAUCCCAAAUUUCAUGGUCCUCUGGGAAUAUAGCAAGAUAUAAAAAACAAGUCUUGAUGGUGUCAUUUGGCAAGUUAUCGUAACUGAAUUUGAGGACCGGAAAUACAUGAGCUCCCAUACCUGAAAACUUUGAUGGAUAAGUCUUCAACAUUUGGAUUGCUCGCUCCCAUUCUUGUGGAGUCUUCUUGUCAGCCAUAGCUCGCCCAAUAGUGACGAUUGCAAGUGGUAAGCCUUGGCAUUCUUUAGCAGCAAUUUCAGCAAGUUGGGGUAUAUCCGAAUGUGAAUUUAGAGUAGUCUCUCCAACCUUCUUCUUGAACAAAUUAAUAGCCUCAUCUUCUGUCAAACACUCCACCUUAAGGCUUUUUUGAGCUUCCAUAUCCCGACAAACAUCCAGAGAACGGGUUGUUAAUAUUACUUAGGACUUGUUUUGGGAAUUAGGAGAAGGAACCCCCACUUUUUGGAGAUCAAGCCGCUCCCAUACAUCAUCUAGCAGCAUCACAAAUCUUUUUGCCUUCAAGACAUUGAAAAUUUCUACUGCUUUUUCAUCCUCGGUUCUGUUUCUCCAUCUGUCUUCAGGAAUGUCUAACUUGUUGUGAAUGACUUCUUGUACUUUUUCCAUACUUGCUGGCCUGGAUACUACUACCCAAAUGGCGAUUUCAAAGAUCUUGCUCACUCUGAUGAACUCAUUAUUGACUUUGGUCAUGAGGGUAGUUUUCCCGGCACCCCCCAUUCCGUACAACCCAAUAAUUCCCAGCUCCUCGUCUUGGAUGCAUCUGCAAACCUCUGUAAACAUCAUAUCUAAGCCCACAGUCUUCUCCAUCGGCCUCUCAUCCACCGGAGCUUGAGGUAACUUAUCAGCCACAACAUCAAAGCGUCCCUUGUUCCUUAAUUCAGUCACAGCACCCAGCUUUUUACUCGCUUUCUUCCCAACCUUGUAGCUGGACCAGCAGUUUCUGGGACAACAAGUUCUAGGGCAUUUCUUCUGGAUUUCCUGAUCGCCUUUCUCCAGGAUCUCGUUGACUUCUAGUUCCAUGGCUAGUACGCUAUGGAGCCAGCCGUCCACUUCAUUUGUGCGCUUCAUUUGCCGUUGAUCUUCAAGUUCAACUCUUCCCUUCACAUCCUGGUAUGCGCUCUUCAGCUCCUGCGUUGCGUUUCUUAACGAGUCCAUAUUUUCCUGCAGAUCCCUGAUGUAGACUGCAUGCUUGGCUGUGCAGUUCCAUACGCGAGUGACAACAUCCAAGAUUGGGCUCACACAAUCCAUUCCUUGUCUUGAGAGAUGAAAUUCAACGAAAAAACAGAAAAUGGAGGGAUGGGUUUUGUGGGAGAGCAGCAGACUUUUUUUUUUUUUUUUGUGUCAAAACAGUUCUCUCUCUCAAUGAGGAGACUUCUAUGGUUCCAUGCACGCGGUAGGUACCGAAGCGUGAAUUCCCACCGUUGGAUAAGUAAAUCCAAUCAAGACCGUCUAUUUGAUUUUACAAAGGGAGGAAUCGUGACAGAAUAUAUAUCGUGAGAGGGACAGCAAUAAUAUUAGUAUUUAAUUUCUUAUUCAUCAAAGCUGAAUAAAAAGGGUUAAGAAAUUAAUGCAUGGAUACAUUUCUCAUUUUAAUUUUUAAAAACAAUUUUAUUUUUCAUUUUAUAAAAAGUAGGUACAUAGCUUGUGUAGUUGAAAAUAUUUUUUUUAAAUUUAAGAAAGUAAAAAUUUUUCACAUUUUAAAUUUUGAGAAAUUUUUUGAACAACAAAAUGGUAAAUAUUUUAUAUAAGAAUUAUUGGUUUUAAAAGUAAAGAAUAAAAAGUGUAUCUAAUGAAUGCUCUAAACCAAUCAAUACUUACAAUUUGGGGGUUUUUUUAUAGGAGAAAAACCAUAACAUAAAAAGUAAUUUUAAAAUUACAACAUUUUUUAAUUUCAAGUAGGCUUCGUCUUUUACACAGACGAAUUUAGUGUAAAAGUGAACUCGUCUUUCAAAAAAUAAGUUCAAUAUAAAUGAACUCAUUUUUUCAAAAAACGAAUUUAAUAUAAAAAGUUUUAAGGUAAAAACAGAAUUCGUGUUUUGAAAAAACGAAUUCGGUACAAAAAGUGAAUUUGUCUUUUAAAAAGAAAAAAAAAGAGUUUAGUGCAAAAAUAAAAGAAAUAAUGAAAAAUAUUAUAUUUGUAUAUUUAUUUUUUAAAUAAUUAUAUUUUAAAGAUAUAUUUUUUAAAGAAUAUUUUAAAAAUAAAUAAAAAUCACGUGGGUAGUCUUGGGUAUUGGCGCCACAAUCUGUCAUGGAACUAAAAAAGAAAUCUUUUUUGCUGUCCAAGACACAGAAAGAAGAAAAGAUAAUAGAAUAAGUGAUGAGUUGCUCGAGCGAUGGUUUGCCCAAAUUUCAAUCCACUAAAGGUUCCUUUUUAUAUGGCCAUUUGCAGAUUCAUUAAGUCUCUAUUUCAAAUUUAUUAUUUCUAAUUACGGAUUCUGCUUCAACUAUCAUAUUUAAUUAAUUAUUAAUUAUUAAUUAUUUGUUGGAGUUUUGGUCUCAAUAUCAAGUUUUAUGAAUACAUUUUUUAAAAGUAUAAAUAAAUUUAUUGAGAUGAGUAAUGCUUGAGGCAAGAAAAAAAAAUAUAUAUGAACAUGAACACCCAGGAGACAUUCGAAAACUUGUCCAGACAAGUAAAAAGAGAGAAAGACAAAAAAGAAAGAAGAAAAAACUAGAGAGUGCCUGAGAGAGCAUGGGAGAAGAGGGUAUUGAGGUGGGAGAAGGAGCUGGAGCAACUUCUCUACCAUCCUCUCGUUUCUUCACCAGAUAAUGAAGUAAGGAGUGAAAGUGUGCUGAAUGGUUUCAUUUUCCCACUUCAACCCCUCCCACCACUCUGAUUCCCCUAUAAUGGUCUUUAAACUGUUUCUUGCACUGUUUGAAUCUAAUGGCAACUUCCUUAGGUUUGGGCAUUCUUCCACUGAUAGGUACGUCAAGGAAGGAAAUGACAAGGCACGACCACUGAUACUCUUUAGAUUUGGUAGAUAAUUCAAGUUCAAACUUUUGAGUCUUGAGAAUAUGCCAAUGUUUUUUGAGAUUCCACUUGCAUCACCUAUCACUUCUUCCAUGGAUUCACAUGUGCUUGCUACAAGAAAUUCAAGUCUUGGGAUGUAAAUAAGCCAUGCCAAGUCCAACAACUUUGGAAGUUGAUAAACAAUUACCACGCGAAGGCUCUGAAAGUUUGAGUUUGGGAUUAGAUCAACUACAAACCCUUGCCCUGUUCCCUUCUUUUCUAGAUCUACUUUUAUCUCUUGCAAUUCUCCACAUCUAGAUAUUCCAAGGAGUUGUAGAUGUUUCAUUCUAGGCAAUUGGAGAAAGCUCAUAUCUUCCAAGUUCCCAAGGCCUAAACGCCUUAUAGCAUUUUGCAAUUUUUGAGAGCUUCGUAACUUUUGAAAGGACAGAGGACCUACGAUUGGAAAAGAUACCCAAUUUAAAUAUGUAUUCCAACCCUUCCAGAUCUUCUAAUAAUGCUUUAUUAUCCUCCCAUAAAUAAAUAGCUUUAGAAUUCUCCUCUGAAUAAUUGGGUUCCUCCUCCUUGGGUGAAUGAUUGCCUUUUUCUUCCUCCAGUAAAUGAUUAAGUCCCAUGCUAAAAUAUCUCAUUAUUAAGAGAUUCGAUAUCACUUCCUUGGAAAUUAUUUUGAGAUAUGACAUGCUAUGUAAUAGCAAAUAUCUUAUUCUUUUCAAAGUCUUAAGCUCAGCAGACAAUUCUCUUAGAUUUGUCCCUGACAAAUCGAGAUAUUGUAGUGUUACUAAUUUACCAAUUCCAACAGGUAAUUCAGUUAUUUGAGUAAAUGACAAAUCCAAAACUUUUAUAAAUGAAAUGGAAGAAUCCACUUGGAAAAGUCUCCAGGGUGUUCUCCUAACAAUUAAAGUCAAGAGAUUGGGAAAAGAUGGUGGUAUGAUGAGUUCUUUCAAGCUACUCAUCGACAAGGAUAUACAUUGUGCCUCUUUCCACUUUGAAACUUGGUGAGCUUCCAUGAUAUCAUUUUCUUCUACCAAAAUUUUGUUCUUGUUGCCACUAUAUACUGUAGCUAACCACAAAGCCAUAGCACGAAUAACAUCAUGCAUCUUGACUUGAUCAAAUCCAACGCUCUCCAAUAAACAUGUUGUCUUUAGAUGCUCAAUGAUAUCGUGCCCUUGGUUAUAUGCUUCAGCUAUGUUGUUGAAUUCAUCCAAAAACCCUUCUCCAAUCCAAAGAAAUAUAAGAUCAUCAUCUAUAAUUUCAUAGUCCUCUAGGAAUAUGGCAAGAUAUAAAAAACAAGCCCUGAUGGUGUCAUUUGGCAAGUUAUCAUAACUGAAUUUCAGGACCGGAAAUACAUGAUCUCCCAUACCUGAAAACUUUGAUGGAUAAGUCUUCAAUAUUUGUAUUGCUCGCUCCCAUUCUCGUGGUGUGUUCUUGCCGGUCAUAGCUCGCCCAAUUGUAACGAGUGCAAGUGGUAGACCUUUGCACUCUUUAGCAGAAAUUUCAGCGAGUUGUGGUAUAUCUGGAUGUGAAUUUAGAGUAGUCUCUCCAACCUUCUUCUUGAACAAAUUAAUAGCCUCCCCUUGUGUCAAACACUCCACCUUAAUACUUUUUUGAGCUUCCAUAUAUAUCACGACAAACAUCCAGAGAUCGGGUUGUUAAUAUUACUUCAGACUUGUUUUGGGAAUUAGGAGAAGGAACCCCCAACUUUUGGAGAUCAAGUCGUUCCCAUACAUCAUCUAACAACAACACAAACCUUUUCGCCUUCAAGACAUUGAAAAUUUCUACUGCUUUCUCGUCCUCACUUCUAUUUCUCCAUCUAUUAUCCGGGAUGUCUAAUUUGUUGCGAAUGACUUCCUGUACUUUUCCCACACUUGCGAGCCUGGACACUACAACCCAAAUGGUGAUUUCAAAGCCCUUGCUUGCUCUGAUGAAUUCAUUAUUCACUUUGGUCAUAAGGGUAGUUUUCCCGUCACCACCCAUACCAUACAACCCAAAUAAUUCCCAGUUGUUCAUAUUGGAUGCAUCUGCAAACCUCUGUAUAAUGUUGAGCUUUGUGGAGCCUAGUUUUAUUUGAUCCGAUUUGACGACCCGACCCGAAUAAUAUUGCAUGGCUUUUUAAUGGGAGAUUUACUGAGGCCUGUUGGGUCCAUUUAACCCAUUGUGGAACCAUCUUUUGUAAUUAGGGUUUUUUAGUGUGGUGUGGUUGCCGUGUUAUAUAUAGAGAGAAAAUAUUGUAGUCGUCGUGGUUGUACUUUGUAUUCUUCCCUGAUAAUAGUGAUAUCCCUGCAACUCUGUGAAUGUAGGCAUAUUGCCGAACCACGUAAUACUAUCUUAUGCGUGUGAUUGUUUUUCUUUGGCGUGUGUUUUUCUCUAUUUUUUGUUUCUCACAGGUUGGGAAUUCAGUUUAAUUCUCUACAACUGGUAUUAGAGCCUAGGGUUAGGUUUGAGUGGGAGCAAUGGCAGAGGAAGCAGGAAAGGCGUCUGGAAUAGAAAAGUUUGAUGGCACAGACUUUGCGUAUUGGAGGAUGCAAAUUGAAGAUUAUCUCUAUAGGAGGAAAUUGCAUCUACCUCUUUUGGGGACAAAACUUGAGAGUAUGAAGGCUAAGGAAUGGGCGCUUCUUGAUAGACAGGUUCUAGGAGUUAUUAGGUUAACUCUGUCUAGGUCUGUUGCACAUAAUGUUGUAAAGGAGAAGACCACAACAGAUUUGAUCAAGGCUUUGUCCGGUAUGUAUGAAAAGCCGUCCGUAAACAAUAAGGUGCAUCUAAUGAAGAAAUUGUUCCAUUUGAAGAUGGUAGAGAAUACAUCAGUAGCACAACAUCUGAAUGGAUUUAAUAUAAUCACAAAUCAAUUGUCGUCUGUAGAAAUUGAUUUUGAUGAUGAGAUUCGUGCUCUGAUCAUUUUGGCUUCUUUGCCAAACAGUUGGGAGGCAAUGAGGAUGGCAGUAAGCAAUUCUACGGGAAAGGAAAAGCUCAAGUACAAUGAUAUACGAGAUUUAAUUCUGGCUGAGGAGAUUCGCCGAAGAGAUGCAGGUGAAACCUCAGGAUCUAGUUCUGCCCUAAACCUUGAGACAAGAGGCAAAGGUAAUGAUAGAAAUUCAAAUCGGGGUAGAUCAAAUUCUAGAAAUUCUAAUCGGAACAGAAGCAAAUCUAGAUCAUGCCAACAAGUACAAUGCUGGAAUUGUGGGAAAAUAGGUCACUUUAGAAGGCAAUGCAAAAGUCCUAAGAAGAAGAAUGGAGAUGAUUCUGCUAAUGCUGUAACAGAAGAGGUACAAGAUGCAUUACUUAUUGCAAUAGAUAGUUCACUUGAUGAUUGGGUUUUGGAUGUAGGAGCUUCGUUUCAUACCACUCCACACCGAGAAAUCAUACAGAAUUAUGUUGCAGGUGAUUUUGGUAAGGUGCAUUUGGCUGAUGGUUCAGCCUUGGAUGUUGUGGGUCUGGGAGACGUUCGGAUAUCGUUGCCCAAUGAGUCUGUUUGGUUACUGGAGAAGUUUCGACAUAUUCCUGACCUGAGGAGGAAUCUGAUUUCUAUUGGACAACUUGAUGAAGGACAUGCAAUACUAUUUGUUGGUGGUACUUGGAAGGUUACAAAGGGAGCUAGGGUAUUGGCUCGUGGAAAGAAGACUGGUACUCUGUACAUAACCUCAUGUCCAAGAGACACAAUUGCAGUUGCUGAUACAAGUACUGAUACAAGCCUAUGGCACCGCAGACUUGGUCACAUGAGUGAGAAAGGGAUGAAGAUGUUGCUGUCAAAAGAAAAACUACUAGAAUUGAAGUCCAUUGAUUUUGACAUGUGUGAAAGUUGCAUCUUAGGAAAGCAAAAAAAGGUGAGCUUCUUGAAAACUGGCAGGACACCGAAGGCUGAAAAAUUGGAAUUAGUACACACUGAUUUGUGGGGGCCUUCUCCGGUUACAUCCCUAGGAGGUUCAAGGUACUACAUCACUUUUAUUGAUGACUCAAGUAGAAAGGUAUGGGUUUAUUUUCUGAAAAAUAAAUCUGAUGUAUUUGAAACUUUUAAGAAGUGGAAGGCCAUGGUUGAGACAGAAACAUGUUUGAAAGUAAAAUGUUUGAGGUCAGAUAAUGGAGGAGAGUACAUAGAUGGAAGGUUCAGUGAGUAUUGUGCUGCACAAGGAAUUAGGAUGGAGAAGACCAUUCCUAGGACACCACAACAAAAUGGUGUGGCUGAGCGCAUGAACAGAACUCUCAAUGAGCGUGCUAGAAAUAUGAGGUUGCAUGUUGGAUUACCAAAAACUUUUUGGGCUGAUGCUGUUAGCACUACAACUUACCUGAUAAACUGAGGACUAUUAGUUCUCAUGGAGUUCAGACUUCCUGAGGAGGUUUGGAGCGGUAAAGAGGUGAAGUUUUCACAUUUAAAAGUUUUUUGUUGUGUUUCUUAUGUUCAUAUUGAUUCUGAUGCUCGUAGUAAACUUGAUGCAAAGUCAAAAAUAUGUUUUUUCAUUGGCUAUGGUGAUGAGAAAUUUGGCUAUAGGUUUUGGGAUGAACAAAAUAGGAAAAUCAUCAGAAGUAGAAAUGUGAUAUUUAAUGAACACGUUAUGUACAAGGAUAGGUCAACUGUAGUGUCAGAUGUUACAAAAAUAAAUCAAAAGAAAUCUGAGUUUGUCAACUUAGAUGAAUUGACUGAAAGUACUGUCCAAAAAUGGGAUGAAGAAGAUAAGGAGAAUGUAAAUUCACAGGUAGAUCUAAGUACACCUGUAGCUGAAGUUCGCAGAUCUUCCAGGAACAUUAUACCUCCGCAACGUUAUUCACCUGUUUUAAAUUAUCUCCUGUUGACUGAUGGUGGUGAGCCAGAGUGUUAUGAUGAAGCCUUGCAAGAUGAGAAUUCAAGCAAAUUGGAGUUAGCCAUGAAGGAUGAGAUGGAUUCCUUAUUGGGGAAUCAGACAUGGGAACUGACUGAAUUGCCAGUAGGAAAGAAGGCUUUGCACAACAAGUGGGUAUACAGAAUAAAGAAUGAGCAUGAUGGUAGCAAGCAUUACAAGGCCAGAUUAGUUGUUAAAGGGUUCCAACAGAAGGAGAGCAUUGACUACACAGAGGUAUUUUCUCCAGUUGUGAAGAUGUCAACAAUUAGACUUGUACUUGGAAUGGUGGCUGCAGAAAACUUACAUCCUAAGCAGUUAGAUGUGAAGACAGCAUUCCUUCAUGGUGACUUAGAGGAAGACCUUUACAUGAUUCAGCCAGAAGGGUUCAUUGUUCAGGGACAAGAGAAUCUAGUCUGCAAACUAAGAAAGAGCUUGUAUGGCCUUAAACAAGCUCCUAGACAGUGAUACAAGAAGUUUGACAAUUUUAUGCAUAGAAUUGGGUUCAAGAAAUGUGAAGCUGAUCACUGUUGCUAUGUUAAGUCCUUUGACAAUUCUUACAUCAUAUUACUGUUGUAUGUGGAUGAUAUGUUUAUUGUAGGGUUUGACAUUGAGAAGAUUAAUAAUCUAAAGAAGCAAUUGUCCAAACAGUUUGCAAUGAAAGAUUUGGGAGCUGCAAAGCAAAUCCUUGAUAUGAGAAUCGUUAGAGACAAGACUAAUGGUACAUUGAAGCUUUCACAGUCAAAGUAUGUGAAGAAAGUUCUCAGCAGGUUCAACAUGAAUGAAGCUAAACCAGUGAGCACACCCUUGGGUAGUCAUUUCAAACUAAGCAAAGAACAGUCACCAAAGACAGAAGAAGAAAGGGAUCGUAUGAGCAAGGUGCCCUAUGCCUCAGCUAUUGGCAGCUUGAUGUAUGUUAUGGUGUGUACAAGGCCAGACAUUGCACAUACAGUGGGAGUUGUGAGCAGAUUCAUGAGUAGGCCUGGAAAGCAGCAUUGGGAGGCAGUCAAGUAGAUUCUAAGAUAUCUGAAGGGUUCAUUAGAUACAUGUUUUUGCUUCACAGGUGCAAGUUUGAAAUUGCAGGGUUAUGUAGAUGUUGAUUUUGUUGGUGAUAUUGAUAAUAGAAAGAGUACUACUGGGUUUGUUUUUACUCUAGGUGGUACAACUAUAUCAUGGGCUUCAAAUCUACAGAAGAUUGUUACUUUGUCUACUACAGAAGCUGAGUAUGUUGCAACAACUGAAGCUGGAAAGGAGAUGAUUUGGCUGCAUGGUUUCUUAGAUGAAUUGGGUAAGAAGUAGGAGAUGGGCAUUUUACAUAGUGACAGUCAGAGUGCAAUUUUUCAUGCCAAAAAUUCAGCUUUUCAUUCAAAGUCGAAGCAUAUACAAACAAAAUACCACUUUAUUCGUUAUCUUAUUGAAGAUAAACUGGUAAUACUUGAGAAGAUUUAUGGAUCUAAGAACCCGGCAGACAUGUUGACUAAGGGUGUCACUAUUGAGAAGUUGAAGCUGUGCGCAACUUCAAUUGGUCUUCUAGCUUGAGGACAGGAGCAUAAGUUGCAGGGAUGAGGGAUUGUUUCUUGGAGGAUAGCGGUUUGAUGUUGGUGAUUGAACUAGUCUCCAAGUGGGAGAUUUGUUGGGCUUUGUGGAGCCUAGUUUUGUUUGAUCCGGUUUGACGACCCGACCCAAAUAAUAUUGCAUGACUUUUUAAUGGGAGAUUUACUGAGGCCUGUUGGGCCUGUUUAGCCCAUUGUGGAACCACCUUUUGUAAUUAGGGUUUUUUAGUGUGGUGUGGUUGUCGUAUUAUAUAUAGAGAGAAAAUAUUGUAGCCGUCAUGGUUGUACUCUGUAUUCUUCCCUGAUAAUAGUGAUAUCCCUGUAACUCCGUGGACGUAGGCAUAUUGCCGAACCAUGUAAAUAUUGUCUUAUGCGUGUGAUUGUUUUUCUUUGGCGUGUGUUUUUCUCUAUUUUUUGUUUCUCAUAGAUUGAGAAUUCAGUUUAAUUCUCUACACAUACAUCAGAUCUAGGCCCACAGUCUUCUUCACCGGCCUCUCAUCCACUGGAGCUUGAGCUAACCUCUCUGCCACAACAUCAAAGCGUCCUUUGUUCCUUAAUUCAGUCACAACACCCAGCUUUUUACUCGCUUUCUCCCCGAGCUUGUAGCUAGACCGUCCAUUUCUAGGGCAACAAGUUCCAGGGCAUUUCUUCUGGAUUUCCUGAUAGCCUUUUUGUAGGAUCUCGUUGACUUCUAUUUCCAUGACUUGUACACUAUGAAGCCAGCCAUCCACUUCAUUGGUGCGCCUCAUUUGUCGUUGCUCUUCAAGAUCGACUCUUCCCUUCACAUCUUCAUGUACAUUCUUCAGCUCCUGCAUUGCAUUUCUCAAAGAGUUCAUAUUUUCCUGUAGAUCCUGGAUGUAGCUGACAUGCUUGGCUGUGCAAUUCCAUACGCGAGUGACAACAUCCAAGAUUGGGCUCACACAGUC
rnacentral:lncRNA from 1 species